UUUUUUUUUUAAUGUUGAUAAUUUUUCAGAAGCAAAGGUGAAAAUGAAAUGUUCAUUGUAAAUUCAUUGUAGAAAGGAGAGGUAAAAUGCGUUUCCCAUAUUUACCAUUUGCUCCCCGUUCCUUUGGAUAUUUUCGGGUUCUGCCACUGAUCUGACGUGGCAGUUUGGGAAUCCUUUCGUUUGUUCGUUCUUUUAUUUAUUUUUUGUGAGAGAUUACCCAUGCUUUUGUGAGAGCAAAAUUCUCUCAUAUUUCUCUAAUGCUUCUCUCUGUCUCUAGCACUACUCUAUAUGUUAACCCUUUUAUCCACCUCAUCAGCGAUGUUAAACUCUGGGAAUCACAUUGAGUCCCUAACUUUUAAUGGAAUUACAGUAAGAAUACAUCUUGUAAUUAUUUUUCAUUUAGAUUCCUCCCGUCCGUGAUCUAAAUCUAAAUUGCUAGGUUGAAUUUGUGUCGAAUUCUAAACAAUCACGUCAAAGUUUGACCAGAUUAUUAAAUUUAUUUACAAAUUCAAAUGAUUUUAACUAUUAUAUACUCAUGAAAUUCACUUAUUAAUUCAAGUGUAUAUUUUAGAGAUGGUCAAUGGGUCGGGCAGCACGAGGCACGACACGACACAAGCACAUUUCGGUUUAUGCGUGUUGUACCGGGCCUAAAAUUUUAGGCACGCAGACCUUAAAAAAGCACGACACAAUUAGAGAUGGAUCAAAGCAUGGCACGCGAAAAGGCACGUAAUAAGCACGUUUCAUUGGUGUGCUAAGCACGCAGCUCGUGAGCCCCCAAUAGCACGUGGACCAAAGUAUAUCAAAAUAAAAUUUUUAAUGAAAAUAAAUAUAAAAUAUCAUGAUUUUAUAAAUAUCUUGAAAUGAAAUUUUUUAAUAUAUUUUUUUAGCAUAGACUUUUUUAAAAUUAAUUUAGGUCCUAGUUUAAAUAAAUAUUCUAAUUUUUUUAUGUUUAUAAUUUAUUAAAUAGAUUACUUAAAUAUCAUGAUUUUAUAAAUGAUAAAUAAAAUUUUAACGACAUUAAUAUUUCAUUUAUGAAAUCAUAACUUAGUUAAUAGUUAAUGGAGAUAUGUUUCAUUUGUAAAUGAAAUAUUUUUCAUAUUUAUGCACAAAAAAAUAAAAUUAUGAACAAAAUAUUUUUAUGAUAAAUUAAAAAUUACAUUUUCAUUCAAUAGAGUUUAUGUGCAAUUAUAAUAUUAAUAGUUUAAAUAAAAUUAGAUGUAAUUGUUAUUCUAGAAUUUUAUUUUUAUUUUUCAUUAAUUAUUAUUAUGAUUUAUGAAAUUAUUAUUAUUAUUAUUAGGCUGGUGGGCUUCAAAAAACACGUCAGGCACGUGGGCUUGAAUAAAGCACGCCAGACACGUGAAUUUUUUUAGGCACGCUGGACAUGUGGACAAAAAAAAUUGAUGGAUUUUUUUGGGCACGGCACGAGUGGGCUCGUGCUGUGAGAGAUUGAGAGAGGAACAUGUGAGAGAGAUUGAGAGAGGAACGAGUGAGAGAUUGAGAGAAGAGAAAUUACAGUAGAGUUGAAGAGAUUGAGAGAGAAACGGGUGAGAGAGAUUGAGAGAGGAAUAGAUGAGAGAUUGAGAGAAGAGAAAUUAUAGUAGAGUUGAAGAGAGUGAGAGAUCGAGAGAGGAAUGAGAGAGAUUGAGAGAUCCAGAUUCUAGGAUUCCCUUUUGUUUUUUUUUUUAAUUUUUCUAUUUAUAUUUAAUAAUUUCUAAAAAAUUAAUAUUAAAAUAAAAAAUAUUCGAAUCCGGGUUCUGAAUUUACGGGUUCACCUGAACUUGGAUUCGGACCUGAAAAUAUACGGGUUCUCAAAAACUGAUCUAAAUUUCACAUAAAAAUUAUUCUGGUACGGAUUGAACUCGGACCGGAUUUUCUGGGUUCAGUCCGGAUCCAGUCCGGGCCUAAAUUUGGUUGCCAUCCCUACUCCGGUCCGUUAUCUAAAUCUAAAUUGGUAGGUUGAAUUUGUGUCGAAUUCUAAACAAUCACGUCAAAGUUUGACCAGAUUAUUAAAUUAAUUAAUUUUUUUUGUACAAAUUCAAAUGAUUUAACUAUUAUAUACUCCUGAAAUUCACUUAUUAAUUCAGGCGUAUAUUUAUCGUAAUGUUAUCCAAAUAUAAAAGUGAAAUUAAUAGAUUUGUGUUGAGGGAAUUCUACGAUAAGAUUGGUGUAAACAAAUAUUAGUAGCGAAUUUACGAAGUAAACUAAACGCAAGGGAGGGGUUGAGGGUCUAGUCCAAUUUAUUUUAGACGUCAGAUGACCUUGCAUUUCGCUCGUUGAAAAUCAACGGAAGAAUCAGAGUUCAAGGGCGGCGAUAAAGGGUUGAGAUUCCGUCUUUCGCUUUCUUAUUUAUAUGGGAUCUAUAUAUAUAUAAAUAAUAUUUCAAAUUUAUGUAAAAAUGAUCAAAGCGGUUUCUAGAGUUUUAUUGCCAUAUAAUCGCAGCUUCUUCUUCUUGUUUUCUGCUAGGAACACCAUUGCUGCAAGACAUGCUCGUGUAACAGGUAAUUCUGACUUUAUAAUUUCUGGAAAAUUUGAAAUAUUUUAGUUGAUGCGUCAGUUUGUUUGUUAUUCCAGGUUGUUUCAAUAUCAGAGCCAUGUCAGCUUCAGUGAAUUCGUCAUCAGCAACUGUAAACAAAUUUCUAAAUGGAAUCAACGAUAACUAUGGAGGUGUUGUCGUUCAAAUGAAUGAGCCCAUGGAUCCUCAGCUUUUUGCUUCACUGCUUAAAUCCUCCAUCUCACACUGGAGGCAGCAGGUGGUAACGCAAGUGAACUGAUUAUUGCAUUACAAUUAUCUCCAGAUGAUUGCAUAUUAUUGCAAAUUAUGCAGGGUCAUUUAUAUGAUUCAUAGUUUUUUCAUUUCAAUCUAUGUAAUUGUCUAUUCUGUUUUGUAAUUGUAGGCCAAAAAGGGUGUUUGGAUCAAGCUACCCAUUGAGCUAGCCAAUCUUGUUGAACCUGCAGUUAAGGUCUGUCUGUUUUAUCAAAUUUGAAUUUUGUGGCUCCUACCGGCUUAUGCUGAUUUUGAAGUUUGAUUCUGCCAUUUUUGUUAGCUGGUUUAGUCCCACUGGGGCAUUAACUAUUGUUCUGUUAUGUUGCUGUGCAGGAAGGAUUUUGGUUCCACCAUGCAGAGCCAAAUUAUUUAAUGCUUGUAUAUUGGAUUCCUGGAGGGGCUAAUACUCUUCCUGCAAAUGCCUCUCACCGGGUGGGAGUUGGUGCAUUCGUCAUGAAUGGAAAGAGGGAGGUAUAUUAUUGAAUUUUAGCACUCCGGAUUCUUACUUUCUCUCUGCUGUGAAGUUGAGGACAUUGCAAGUAAAUAGGAAGCUCUUAUGCACGUAUAAUGAUCGUCCCCUUCAUUUUCGUAGUCUUGGGAUUUUCUUCUCCCUUUAUUUGGUCCAAUUUUUGGGCUAUACAAGGGGAUAGCGCUUUCCACUCGCUUACAUGUUUUAACAGGUCUGAUAGCCUCCUUGCAGCUGCAAGAAGGCAUAUGCCGCUAGGACUCAAUGCUGUUGCUCCGUUUCUGUGUAAUUUAAUUAUGUUUGGUUUCACAUCUCCACUUUCCUGUUUUUCACAGCUCUGCUUCCCUCGGUGCUGUGAAUUUCACUUGUAACACUAGUGAUACAGUCUAGUUAUUAAUGUUGCUUAGUCUGGCACCAAUGGGUUUCUAACUGAAACAGAUUUAAUCAACCUGUUGAUCAUUUCAAGUGUCCAAAUUUGUUCCUGAACCUGCGUUGAUUUUAUGCAUGGCUUAUGGCAGUAGUAGGAAAUGAGACAAAUCCUGUAUAUUUAGCUGGUCACUUGGGUUUGAAUCUUGAGGGAGUUAAGGGGCUAAAAAAUGAAUUUCGGCUCUACCCACUCCCUUGCCUUUUUUUUCCUCCCUCAAAAACCAAAAAAAAAAAAAAAGAUUCUCCUUAGUUUAUGAAUUGCACAUUUGUGUUCUUCUAAAACCUUUCUUCUUGAUGGCAUUUUUAAUUUGAACGAGCACCCUUUUGGUUUAAACUCAUAAAAGAAUACUUUCUAUCGCAUGCUCUUUCGGAGGGGAACUGAAUUCAAUCUAAACAGUUGUGCUGGAGGUCUCUCAAUACAUUUGAUUUUCACAGUGGCUUCAUUCAUUUCUUAAAAAAUCUUGGUUUGCAUAUUUCGAUGGUAGGUGCUUGUAGUCCAAGAAAAUAGUGGGAGAUUCCGGGGGACAGGCAUAUGGAAGUUUCCUACUGGAGUUGUUGAUGAGGUAUGUAUGUCAGAACUAGCAUGUCAUUACCGAUAACAUGUAGUUUAUAUUUUCUCAACUAGGUAAGUUUUGUCUAUUCCAGGGGGAGGAUAUCUGUGUGGCUGCUGUUAGAGAAGUCAAAGAAGAAACAUCAGUAAGUAUUAAUUAGGCACGUCUGUAUUAUAUUUUGUUGAAAACAAGCUAUUUCUUGUUUUCUCUUUGAGCUGGACUGAUCUUCUUCGAUUCUAAAGUUGCUGGUUUUUGGUUAUUCAGAUUGACACAGAAUUUGUUGAAGUACUUGCAUUCAGGUAUGUUAUUUUUUUAAAACGAAUUUUUUAUGUAGAAUCAAAACCACUGUUGUUUAUUAUAUUCCAGUUUGAAGUUUACACGUCCUUGCCUGUGUGCCACUGUGGUCAGGCAAUGAUGCAAAGAUUUGAGGUGCUUAUUGCAUUCUUUUAGCAUCCGCUAGUCUGUGGAAAGGAGGUAUUCUAGUUUUGGAAGGACAAAGGAACAUAAUGUGCUCUUGUUAAACAAAAUUAUUUAUACAGAUGUGCUUUCAAGAUGGUUUUAGUUAGGUACCUCUCAGGAAAAAAAAAAGGAUUUAGGUACUGCAGAGUAAUGAAAUACCUGAAUGCAUGGUAUUAUAAAUGAAGAAAAAACAAUUUAAAUUUCCAAUCUAUAUUCUUAGAGCUGAAAGUUCUAUCCUUAUCACUUUUGAAAUUUAAGUUCUUCUCACUGUUUCCAGACAAAGCCAUCAGUCAUUCUUUGAAAAGUCAGAUAUAUUCUUUUUGUGCAUGUUGCGACCCCUUUCCUUUGACAUCCAGAAACAGGAAUCUGAGAUAGAGGCGGCUGAGGUAAAAAUUCUAUUUCAAACUUUCGAACAUUAGGCAUAAUAUUGUAAAAGUGUUAGCUCUGAGAUGCAACCGAAACAGCACUAGCACUAGCACCAGCCUGUGAACAUCGCUGACACUACUGUUUUAAACUGCCUACAGUGGAUGCCAUUGGAAGAAUAUGCAGCGCAGCCAUAUGUCCAAAAACAGGAACUUCUAAAGUACAUAGUUGACAUAUGCUCAGCAAAAGUAGACACGAGGGGGUAUCAUGGAUUUUCUCCCGUGCCUACCACAUCAGCUUUCUCGGAUAAAAAGCACUACUUUUACUUGAAUAGUGUGGACCUCAAAAGGCUGUAGUAUCUAAUUAUUGGCCCUUGGAAUCAUACUGUGAGAGGGAUACCGAUAAUGAUAUUCUCAUCAAAAGUCUGUUUUAAACACACUAUCAAUUCAGUGCUGCUCUCAAUGAGGAAAAGCUAAAACGUCAAUGAUACUAGUGAAUUGGAUUCUUGUAUUCUUUUAUUAUUAUUAUUAUUAAAAUAUUCUCUUUCUAGAUGGUAAAAUAAAUUAUGAGGGCAUAAUGUACUGUUGCUCCGAACAAGGGAAACGUGCAAACAUGCGUAUGUAUUCUUUCUGGAAUUUGAUUGCUGAUUAAUGAUUAUACUGGAAGCCGAUGAGUAUAAUUAGCUUCGGUUCAGCCUUCUUGCGGCUUUCGUUAGCUAGUUACUGCUACAUAUUUUUGCUUGAAUAAAUUACAGUAGUGGAUUAUUUUCACACACACACACACCAUAUCAUCCUUGGUGUAAUGUAAAAAAUCCAGGGUAAGAGAUGACCUAAUUAAUUGAUGUUUAGCGGCCUUUAAAUAUAAUUAAUUAUUCUACUAAUUAAUAUGGUAGGGAAUCUCUAUCCCACAUCCGCUAGCUUUUCCAUUUCUUUAAAACAAAGUUGCUUGAAGAAGGAACAAGCACACAACCAGCACUUCCUCUCACAGUCCUUAUAAUAUGAGACAACUUAGAAAGACAUAAUUAAGAUGACACGUGGACAAAAAGUACAUCACAUGGUUAAACAAUUCCAUUUAAGUAGUUCUCCAUCUCCGCCACUUCCAGUUCCAGUGAAGUACGCAACUGAACAGGAACAACCUAAAACAUGCAAAUGAUUUAUUAAUACGUGAAGCUCCAAAAAGAUCACAGUUUAAUUUAGUACGUACAUAUAUCACAUGGUAUGUUUCAAACUCAAACAGUUCCAGACAAAUUAAGGGAUUUUUUUGUGCAAAUUAAGAUCCAUAAUGAGGAUUGUAUUCGUUAAUUACAUCAUGCUGCAAUUCAAUUACUAAUGGAUGGAUCCACGUUCAUAUUAUAAUCAAUACGGAAAAAUUACAUAUUUCACUCUCCAAUACGAGUUAGAAAUACUUACAUUCAAAUUCAAAAUGGACUGUGAUACUUACCUCUUUCAAAUUUUUUUAAAAAAAACAUUAAACUUUUUAACUUUCUUACCCUAACAAUUUAAGUUAUUUUACAAUGAAAAAGUUCAUAUUACCCCUAAUCAAUUUACGUUAUUUUACAAACCAUAAACAUCCAUCAAAAUGAAUAUACCUUUCUUGAAUGUGAUAUAACAAUGUUGUCCCUGAUAAGUUAAAGAUAAUUUCGUUUUAUUUUAUUUCCAUCCCAUCAUGGAUUAUAUAUAUGCUGAUUUCAUUUACAUAAAACAGUACAUUCAUUCUCUCAUUGAUAGCAUAUAAAAUAAGCUUCACUAAGCCAUCAAAUCCCAAGACCCUCUUUGGUUAAGUAGAAAUUCAAUCAUGCCAGAUACCAUCAAAAUAAUAAGGAUACAUGAAGGGGAGCUAUAUAUAUUGUUAUAUAUAUAUAUUCAUUGCAGUAUUAGGUAGGUAGGUAGCGAAACGACUCACCAUAUAUUCUUUAAAAAGAAUACAAAUCUUAGUCUACUGAACAUUAAUUCUCAAAGCUAUGGGUUAAUAUGAUCACUUUACAUUUCAAUAAUACUAACAGAGGAAGAGGAUAGCCAAUCUUGUAGUGCAAUGAAAAUAGGUUCUCAUCCUUAACAGCUGAAGUUUCAAAAUCUCAUGUUCGUAUACAUUACAAGUUAAUCAUUAGAAAAGAAGAGGGCUGCAGAGGAAAAAAACAAACAAAAUACAUCAUUUAUAUAUAAAACGUGAAAAAUAAAUGUAUUUUACAGUCAUGGAAAGUUUUUUAUUUGGAGAUUAUUUCCCCCACUAAACCUAUAAAUUAUAAAGAAAAAAUGACCAAAAAUUAGAAUAGAUACAGAAAGAAGCUGGCACAUAAUUGAAGGGACUUAAAUAGAAACAAGAACUACUUGGCAAACGAAUUAUUUAAACCAAGAAAAAAAAAAUUCCAUUAUUCCCUUUCGUAACAAAUAGGUAGUAAAUUAUUUAUCAUCAAGAAAAUAAUUUUUUUACCAAGGUGUCUUUGGUAGAGUUGUCUCCCCUUUGCCUCUUUCUCUUUCUCUAUAUGAAAGUCUCUACUUGCCUAGAAUUCACUUCACUCCUUUAUAACUUCAAGAGAUUGAAGUACAACAGAAAGUGUCCAUUAGAUUAAUUCUGGAAAAAAAGUAAUCAAUAAUUAAAAAAAAAAACGGUAUUAAACUAUUAUCAUUCAUUCUAGCUCCAGCGAGGAAAUUUAACUUAUAUCAUUGUACGGGGCAGAAAAUUGAACUUCACACUUAAAUAAUCAAAGGAAAAACAAUAGAGCGAGAUCAACACUCUACAAAAUAACAACUAUAUAUCACAAAGCUUUAAUAAGAAAUUACAUGUCUCCCAUCAUAUAGCCAACCACAAUAGAGCAACAUAAACUCAAUUUCUUUCUUUCAGUAAUUAUGUCGAAUAAUUGACAAAUGUUUCUCACAAACAUCACAAAAUGUAGAUUAGUUUUUUGCUUUUUAAUAUUUUGGCAGUGUUAAUUAUCCAGCACAACAAAAACAAACCAAAGUUUCAGUCUUUAUAAUAAGUUAAUUAGUGAAUCAUUUAAAAAAAAAAGGGGCUAGCUUCUCGUUAUUUGACGGCCAAGAAUGAUAUAAAUUGCGGUACAAAGUAUGCUUUCAAUUGGGCCAUGGACAGAUGCAUGACUCCCAACAUAUCUGUUAAAAUGUUCUUUACUCAAUUAGAUCACACAUCCACGUAAUUCCCCAAUUUUACUCUACCCACUUGAUCUUUUGCCAUCUGUGACAUUUCAACACGAAUUUAUUAAUUAAUACCUUUAAUAUAGUAUUGGUAUAAAAGUCUGAAAAUGGAUUACCCACCUUACAAAGAAAAUAAAAAAAUAGAAAAAGAAAAUAAAAAGUUUUGUACAAAGGUUAUUUGCAGAUGGGAUAGUUGGGGCAGGCUUGAAAAUGGGAAUGGGAAGAAAGUGCUUGUUCUUCCCCGCAAGGAUAAAGAUUAUUUAUGAGACGUGUGUAUAUGUUGUUUGUACAUUAAUAUUGUUGUGGAUAUUAUCAAUUAUCAUUCAUAGCUUUGGUGAACGAAUGUUUUGUGUGCUUCAUUAAAUUCAUUAUGUUAAGAAACAACAAUAUAGACGACGCAGACGAUAAGAGUAGGCUACCUACCUACAUUUUAACUUCCAAUCCAACCUCCACCUUCAAAUUCUACUAUUUAUUCAGACUUCUGUACCCCUUCUUCAUGGCUUAACCCCUACUUUUGUUGAGUCAAAGUACAAGGGGUAUGAAUGUAAUCUUACGUAUGUCACUAAGAUUGAGAAGCAAAUUAAAACUAUAAAUAAAUUAAAACCAGAAGUGGGAUUGCCUCUCUUUUAUAUAUAUACUCACGCACGCACACACACGUUGUCUCUCUCUCUCAUAUGAAAAAUAUUGACCAACCUAGCUAGCUUAUAUAUACAUAUAUACACGUACGUAAUACAAAGAUUUUUAUUGGAAACAAAAUUAAACUAGAAGCGCAAAGAAGAUGAGCUACUUUUGCGGCAGCGGCAGCAAACUUGUGAGGAUGAUGAGUUACUUGAUGAUUAUAAUCAUCUUUCUUCUUGAGGGUUCAAUGGCGGAAGAGGAGGAGAUGAGCUCGUCAUACGAGUUGUCGACUAGAGAAGAGUUGGUGCAAAUGGCUGGUUAUGGAGAGGAGAAAUUGUCAACGGUGCUUGUCACCGGCUUCGUUCUCUGUGAGGCUUGUUUGCAUGGUCAAGAUGAUCAGCUCCGUGCAUGGCCAAUUACAGGUAAAUAACCACUUUCAUGAGGUUAAUUUGAUGAUCAUCUUCUAUUCUUCUGAACUUCUCUUUCUAUACAUGAACAUCAGUAACAGAGUAUAACCUGCUAUGAUUAUUAGUGCACACACUUGCAUGCACGUAUGUUCUCUCUAUCUCUCUCUCUCUCUCUCUAUACACACACACACACACACCUACAUACAUGCUUUCUUUUAUUAAUUUUCUUUUUCAUUUUAAAUUGCAGUCAUUCCGAUCCUGCAUGCUAGCUUUAAUUCUAAAUUUUCUGUAGAUAUUUUCACACCUCUUUUCGACCCCUUGUUGUUGUAGAGAUCAAAUAUAUACGUAUGCAUAUAUAUAUUAGCACCACUUUAAUUUAGAUCGAUGUUAAACAAACCGUGUGUGUGUGUGUGUGUGUGUGUGUGUGUGUGUGUAUAGCUAGGUUCAUUUUGCUCAAUUAUGCAAAACUUCAAUUAGUAAUCCUAUUUAAAAUUUCACAAGUGACUUAUUCUCUUUGUAUUUCCAUAGCGUCUUGUCAAAUGACAAUUAAAUCUUGUCAUCAAAGAAACCUUCCAGGUUUAGGGCGAACGUCAUGCAAGUAUUGGUGAAAAGUCGCCAUUAGGUAAUUUAUAACUUUCAAGCUGAUGCAAAAUGAAGCAACACAUACGCUGUUUCGUGGGAACUUGUGUUUUAACUUGAAUUGCUGUGAAACCAAUAAGCUGCUUUUAUAUUAUUAUUAUGUCAUUAAAGUAUAAAGUCCCUUUUAAGUGAAUAGUGAUUAGAUCAAAUGGUUAGUUAAUUUUUCAUUUUGGUUCGUCCUCAUUGAUACCAAAAAUGAAACUCCAUGAAUGCACGAGUCACAUCAUUAUUUUAACAAUUUGCUCUUUUAAGACCUGGAAAUUAAAAGAAAAAAAUUGCGUUAUAUAUUGAAAUUAAAAACUAGAUAAUUACAUAGAAUUUGAAAUGAAAUUGACAGUUUACAGGUGUAAUUAAGGGGAAAAAAAAUCUGAACCUAUUUACAAUCACAAGCAUCAUAGUCUGGUUUAAUUUUAAAUUUUUGCAGGUGCUUUGGUGAGUGUAUACUGCCAUAACAGCCAUAGAAAGAUAAUAUCAAAGACUCAAACAUUUACAGAUGAAUAUGGAGAUUUUAUGAUCGAUCUUCCUUCACACCUACAUGCAACUCCCAACUUGGACAAGACAUGUUCAGUGAAAGUUCUUCGCCUACCCAAGAACUCGCACUGUCGACCAGCUUAUGUCAAGAAGCACAAAGGACUAAAAUUAUCCUCGGUUGGGAAUGGCAUCCGCACUUACGCAGCUGGAAGAAUAGGAUUCUUGCAUUGGACAUCGAAACCUUUACGGGCGUGCACUGGCAAAGGAAUCAGCGACAAACAGAUUGCAUGGUAGACAUAUAAACACGGUGAAACAAGCAGAUUGGGAUACGACGACACUAUGGCUCAUCGAUGGCGCUUCAGUCACAAUAUAGGGUUCUAUCCCACUCUAGCUUUUAGCUUUUAAGUAUAUAUUGGAAAAGGGAAGAAGAACGUUAAUGGCGGGUAGUGCAUGUAUGUAAAUAAUGAUGUUUUGCUGCAAUGCGAGCCUUGAGAGUGAUGUUUUCACUUUUGAGUGCUGAUAAUAAAAUACUUGAUGAUAUUUUGUCACAUACCAAGUUCCGGUGAAGAUGUAUAGUGGCAUGUUAUUACUUUUGAGUUAAAAUAAGAAUGGAUUACAGAAGGUAAUCAACAACCAAAGCACUGACAAGAGGGAUAAUCAAGAACAGGAAGAGUUAUACUAUAUAGAUUCUGCAUCUUUUACAUCCACAAUAACAGGAAAUUAAGCAACCUGGCAACCCAAAAUUCAAAACCAAAGCAUCCACUAGGCACAUGUAAAUUAGAAGCAACAUUGGGACUUAUCAUUCUUUUUCACCGGCUUCAGAAGCAAUGUAUCUUGCAACAUCUGCACAGCACGUAAGCUUAUCUGCUUUCUCUUCAGGGAUUUCAACGGAGAACUCUUCCUCAAAAGCCAUGACGAGCUCCACCCUGUCUAAACUGUCCAGGCUCAGAUCUUUUUGGAAAUCAGCUGUUUCAGUGACCUGGUAAUCAUAUCACACACAUAACAGUUCUUGCCCAUUUUAAACAACCCAAGAAGCAGUGUACUCUAAAAAACAGCCUAAUUAAAUUGGAUCAUGGAAAAUUGCAGAGACACCAUCAAUUAAUUACCUUAUGAGCAUCAGUUUUGUCAAAUUUCUUAACCAGUGCAAUCACUCGAUGCAUUAUUUCGUCAGGAUUGGCACUGGUUGAUGCACACAUCUGCCGACUUAGUUGCUUGAGAACAUUCCUGCUCCCAGUCCCAGUGUAGGACCAGUAAGUUUCAUUGAAUCCCCUCACCCUAACAUACCUCAAGAUGGUUUCUUUAAUGUUUUGCAUAUUCAGAGUAGCUGAAAUCAAAUCAAACCACAGAAAACUUAGAUUACAGGCACAUGUGCAAACCAUAUCAAGAUAAUAGAAAGCAACAAUCAGAGGAAAAACACCAACCGUUGAAUUUACAGAUGAGUUCAAACCCUCCAUAGUAUAGAGAAUGCAUAAUUGUAAGACAAGUAUUGAAAAUCCUAGAGAAGUUUCAAAAUGGCAUGCCAUGUAUGGACAGCAAUAUUGAUUUAUAUAUAUUCCACCAACACCAACCAAGGAAACUUCCAGGAAAAUUCUUGGAUUAAAAAAGAACAACACGAGUAGUACCGGAAAGCUUGACAUGACAUGACAUGACACGACAAUGUACAGAGAAUUAUUAGUAAUGGCGUUUGCAUUACAUUAGCAUUACAUACAUAUUCAAAGUUAUAAUCUUUAGGACUCAUAUUAUUUAUUCAAUUUAGCGCCUAUAUUUAUAUUUAUAGGCUAAUACGAUAUUAAAAUUUCAUUCCCAGAAAUCAAAUAAAUACAAAGAAAACAGAUCAGAAGAAACCAAAAAAAAAAAAAAAAAAAAUGGCAACUUAGAAAGCAUCUGGCGGCUUACGAGGAAAGUGGGAACUCACCUAUGCAAAUGCAACGGUUUCUGCUACCUGUUUGCUUAAUUGCCGCAGAGAAAAAGAGUUCGAUGAGUCGGAUGCCUCGUCAUUCAAAGUACAGCAAUGUCACGUGGAUCGUUUUUAAUCUACUGGGCCUCAAAACUGGGCUUCUUCUGCGUUCAACUAAGUAGAGCUUUUAACGCCCCUUAAAUUUAUUUCUUAAAAUACUCUCAGAAAAUUGAUAAAGUAUAAAUUCAUAAAUUAAAAUUAACUAUCUUUUCAUAAAAUUUAAAUUGUAUAAAAAGUUUAAAAUAUUAAAAAUAUCUAAAAAAGUUUUCUUAUUAUAUAAUUUCUAUUUUUAUAAUUCUAAAUUCUUAUAAUUUUUUUUUUAAAAAUUAAUUAAAAUUUAAAAUAUAAAUAUAAUUUUGAAACUAGAUGGAUGUAAAAAGUUUGUCAAAAUAAUAACUUAUAUAGGUGUUUAAUUGAAUUUUCAUUCAAAACAAAAUAAUGAGUUAAUUUAUAUUAAGUUAUUUAAAUAAUUUCAAUUAAAGGGGAACUUUAUGAGAAAUUUUGAGGGGUAUUAAAGAGUUUUCUCUUAUUAAUUAUCUUGAUAUUAAGAGGUUCAUAUGGGUCUUUUGAAUUAAAAAAAAAAAAGCUUUAACACUAAUGUUCCUUCCCAUUUUUUAUCUUCAAAAUUUUGAUAUAUGUCAAUUGAUGUAUGCUAUCUAUACGCAGACACGGCAACUCUCGUAUAAUUCAUCACAUAUACAUAAAAUGAUAAAAUAAAUAAUCACUUAACAUAUGAUAAUUUACAAUAUCCUAAGUAUUAUAUCACGUUUAGUUGAGGCUCAAAUUUUUGUAUUCACUUUCAGUAAGUAUUAUCCUUGCGAUCAUUAUUCUCAAAUGCAUAUACUCAAUUUCAAGAAUAUUUAGAUGGAUGGAUAUGAUGUCAAUUUUAUAAAAUAUGUCAUGAACAUGUGCAGUGCAAUUUGUGUUUAGUUUAUAGAACAUACCAAUAAAUACAGAGCAAUCACACAUUAUCAUAUGAAAUACGAAUAAUGCUUUGAAACAUAGAGGUGCAUCUUCAUAUGAUCAUAAUGCAUGUCCUUUUGCAUAAAAACUUGAAGCACGGGAAGAAGGAAAAGAAAGGGCAAAGCUGAGAGAGUAAGGGAAAAGACUAUGUCAAAGAAUGACGUGACAAUACACAGACAUAUAUAUAUAUAUAUAUGUAUGUACUGCACAGCGUCAACUCGCCCUCCACUUAACCCCCAACGAAGAUACACGAUAGAUAGAUAGAUAGAUGCAUCCAACAUCUCAAUCUCAUUCAUUGGAUUUGGGCCACCAUUCGAUCUUCCAAAUUCACUGGAGUUUAUUAAUAGUAUUACUCUAAUAAUUUACAUUUCACUUUCGUUUUUGCCAUCUAUAUAUUUCUUUUCUUUUCUUUUCCUCAAUUAAACUGAUAUUGAUUUUAAUUGAAUCAUGAGGGAGUGAUAGGGAGAUAUUACAAUUGUUUUUUUUUUAUUAUAAAUAAUUUGGUUCAAUUAAUUUAGAAAUAAUAAAAAUGGGGAAUGUGAAUGCAAGAGAGGAUGGAAGUAAUAGUCCAUCUGGGGUUGAAGAAGGAGAAAGUAACAAUAGUGUUCAAGAAGAGGGCAUAAUUGUGCCAGAUGGAUUGAUGGGUCAAUCACCUCCUCACAGCCCUAGAGCCACUCACUCUCCUCUCAUGUUCACUCCUCAGGUUUGUUUUUUCUCAAAUUCACAUUACUAUCUCUUUUUAAUGUUUUAAUUGGAACGGGUAUUUGUUUUUUUCCUUCGGUUGAAAGGAUUUAGAUUUCUUAUGCUGGCUUUAUGAUCAAGUUUGUAUUGUCAUAUGUAUUUGAUUGACGGUUAUUGGAACGGGUAUUUUAUGAUCUAUAUAUAUAUAUAUAUAUAUUUUCUACCGGUAUCAGUUUGUUUGAGGAGUUCUAUUGAAUCCCCUGUUUUAGAAUUCCCGAGACGCUAUCAAAUUUGAUACUGUUUGUGCUUUGUGCUGCCACUUUUAUUUCUUGUUAUGCUCAACUGUUGUUUGAUCUAAUUUCUGGUAGAUUUCCUAAGAAUUUUUUAUGCCCAACAGCCUGAGUCAGAGGAACCUUUUCUUCACUGGUUACUUUGUGUUAUUAACAUUACCGAGGCUGUCAAUUUGGGUUUGGAUCUAUGAACUGGUGCGUGAUCACUAUGUAUCGUGAUGGUCAGAGGCUCAUAUGAUAUGAAACGAGGCCUUUUUGUGUCAAUUUGGAAGAAAGUUCUGAACUUUUGAUUUUUCUGAAUGUAAGAAAGAACAUGCUUGCUAGCUGGAGUGCUAAGGAGAACGAAUGCUCAUGUUGAUGCUUGGCUUGUUUCUGUAACUAAUUCCAGGUCCCAGUGGUUCCAUUGCAAAGACCUGAUGAGAUGCAAAUUCCUAAUCUGUCCUGGAUGCAAACUUCUUCUGGUUAUGAGGACAUGGGUGACGGGGUAGGAAUUCCAACAAUGAUCACCUGGAGCCACGAUGGCUGUGAAGUAGCAGUUGAGGGAUCAUGGGAUAACUGGAAAACAAGGUGAAGAAAUUUAUGCUUUCUGUAUAUUAUUUUAAAGAAAUUCAUUUCAUUCUUUGUUCAUCCAUUAUGAACUUACAUCAAAGUGUCAUACUUAUAACCUUUUGUGCUGUUGACUAGAAUUGCCUUGCAGAGAUCAGGGAAAGACUUCACUAUUAUGAAAGUACUGCCAUCAGGUGUUUAUCAGUAUAGAUUUCUUGUUGAUGGACUAUGGAAGUACGCCCCAGACUUGCCUUCGACCCAAGAUGAUGAUGGCAAUGUUUACAACAUCUUAGACUUGCAGGUAAAUAUUACUUUUAUUCCCCUUUAUAAGUAUGCAUGUUUCAUAGUUGCAGUAACAUGUCAUUCUCUUUUAGGAUUUGAAUGCAGCUACUGGUGUUAUUUGAAUUCGCAUAUUUGAAUUCUCAUGGGUAUCAAAACUUCUUAAGCUAAAAUGAAAGAAUUUACAAACCUAUCUCUACAGAGCUCUCAACAACGAAGAUACGCUGAAAGUUUUAGAAAUAUAAUUCUAGCUGGAUUCAUAUAUCAAGCAUAAACUGUUUAAUUCUCUCGACUGCCACAGCCACACUUGCUUUUCCUACUUUCCUUUUUACCUUGCUCUUGCAAUACUUUCAACAUGACGAUCUACAAACACUCCCAAGUGUUAUGGUUAUGAUUUUUUUCCUUUCUUUUUUUUUGGAGUAAAGUGCAUGGAAGUUUUCAUUUAUGAUUUUUUGAGUUUUCUUCUAUAUACUCUAGUAUUGGAAGCGAAUACCUUCUUCUGGUGAUAUUUUGAUCGGAAGUUUUCAGCUUCUGUGAUUUGAGCAAAGGUCUGAUAGGUUAUGGUAGACAAACACAAUUUGUCAGGCAUGUAGCAAAAAGUAAGAGUUGUUGCUUGACAACACAGAUCUCAGUAGUCAUCUUGUUGAUAUAUUGUGUAGGAAUAUGUUCCAGAUGACCUUGAAAGCAUAUCUAGUUUUGAGCCUCCUCAGUCUCCAGAGACGAGCUACAACAACUUGCAACUGACUGCUGAGGAUUUUGCAAAGGAACCGCCAUUGGUUCCUCCACACCUUCAAAUGACACUGCUCAAUGUGCCUGCAUCAUACAUGGAAAUUCCUCCUCCUUUGUCAAGACCUCAACAUGUGGUCCUUAACCAUCUCUAUAUGCAAAAAGGGAAAAGUGGCCCGUCUGUGGUGGCACUUGGUUCAACACAUCGAUUUUUAGCCAAAUAUGUGACGGUGGUGCUCUAUAAGUCUAUGCAGAGGUGAUAGUAUACUAUACCUACGAUGACUUUAUAGUCUUCAAUCCCUAUAUGUAGUUAAUAUAAUUAUGGAGAGGUAGGUGCUAUGAGAAUGGAUAAAGUAGCAAGGAACUUAAAAAGUAAUGCAAAUAUUUGAUGGCCAUGAUCCAACAAUUUCUUUAUUUGUUCUUUUUACAAUCUUUUAUUGUCUUGCGCAAGAAAUUAUACAACUGAUUCAAAAGUAGUGAGGAGUCAUCAUAUGGUUGAGAAAUAUUGCCAAAAUUUUAAUCUCUAUAUGUAGGUAAUAAUACAGUCCUAGGAUUUUGGACUGUAGCCCCUCGAUUCAUAGCUGCCUUGGCAUUCCCAUAACUGUAGGUUAACAUGAUAUUGCAGCUGUCUUGUUUAGCAAUCGAUAUUUGUUAGGUUUGAGGUGAAAUUUAUAGGAGUUACAGGGAAGAUUUGAGAAUCAAAGUUAUAGUUCUCUUCCAAUGAUUAAUGGUCCAGAGGAAACGAAACAAAGAAAAUAAUGAUAGCGUGGGAAUACACUACCCCGAUUGUAGAUGGAGUUUAAUGACUUGAUUUCUCUUCAUCUUCCUCAUUUUCCCUCAUUGGAAAAAUACUGUAUGGUGUUAAUUGAUUAUUUUGUCAUUUUCAAAUAAGAUCAUGCGGUGUUACAGUUAACUUUGUAAGCAUUUUGUCAAUUUUUUUUUAAUCCAAAUGUCAGUGUUCCUGUAUUGUUUCUCAGAUAAGUAGGCACCUUAGUCUUUUGUCUCAAGCUGACAGUCACUUUAGGUCACAGGACAAACUUAUAAGGGCUUCCUUAAAAUAAUUCUACGUUCGUUCUCCCAAUCUUCAUACAAAAGGAUGUGGAUUUCUUAUGCAAACCAGCACAUAAUUGAAUAAGAAACAGGACUAAGAUUUUUAUUUAUACUGUUAGCUACUAGAAGGUACCACUUAUGGUAGCAAACUUCCGCCAUCAAUCUUACAAAGUAGGCUAUCACCUUCUCUUCAAACAGCAGUAAAAGUAAAUAUGUACAAAAUAGCGUAGCAAAGGCUUAAAUGACUUAGCCUACCCAACAUUGUUUCCCUUACAACUGCUCAAUAUUUUUAACCUUCAAUUGCUGCAUACAUGACUACUUAAAAACAGGGCAUCCUUCAACUGCAAUUCCUGGUGCAGUUGGACAUGUAGCCAAAGGACAGUGAUCAACAUGGGUGCCCCACCACUUCAAAUUUAUGUCAUUAUUUUGCAAAGCAAAGAACAACAGAACACCCAUGAAAGCUGUUCCAGCAUCCAGAGCUGCUGACAGAACAUAGUUAUACUUCUGCCACCAACGCUUGUGGUAUCGGAACACAAAGUAGUUGAAGAUCAUUCCGGUGAUAAGCCAGCUUGCUAUGUUGGUGGGAGUUGCUGGUGGCAUUCCGGCAAAGCCAUAGGAUAUAACGGGAAUGUUUAUCAAAGGAAUCCAUUUCUUUUCAGGGAACACUUUGCUCAGUACCCAAACAGGAACUGGCAAGACGGCUCCUACGAGGAAUAGCCAUACCAAAUUACGGUACAUUCCUCCAGGACCAAACAACCGUCUUGGUCCAAUCAGACCCCAUAUUACUGAAGCAUCAAAUGUUACUCUGUACUUGGGGCAAGUCCAUUGGCUGUCGGGAUGAAGUGAUUCGACGUCACAAAUGUUCUCAAUGCUCUCCAACAUCCACCAUGCCACUCCAAGGUUCACCACACCAGACACUAUAGUACCAACCAGCUGAGAAAAGAGAAAGCAAAAUUAUUCUUUUUGUCGAUAAGUUAGCAAAACCAAGAAGAUGCAAGAUUUUUGAGCUACAAGAACCUGAGCAGUGUACAUGCACCGUGGAGGAAUUUUCAUGUAGUGCCCAAGUUUAAGGUCAGAUAAGAAAGAUAGAGCAUGGAUGGUACUGAUUCGUCCGUAAAUCUUGAAAAGCAGAUUUGCAAUUGGUUUUCCUGGUAGAACAUACCCGAUCAUGAAUUGUGCUAUGAUGUCAUAUCCAGGUUGCUGCAAAGUCAACACAAGAACAUUAACAUGUUAAUCUUUCGUUGUUUCAGCUCUACUACUACUACUACUACUACUACAACCAAAAAAAAAAAAAAAAAAGAUAAAAUGAUAAGAUUUGGUUUGUUACCUGGUUGGUAGUUGCUUGAAUGACCCCAAUGGGAAGGGUAACAAUCCAAGCCAAAGCAAAAGCAAAGAGCAUUCCCCACCAUUGCAGUUGCACUUCAUCUUUCCAUACAAAAGACAUCAAUAGAGAAAGGCCAAUACUUCCCAGUAACAGUACAUAGAACCACCAUUGAGGCACUUGUUUGUAACUUUUCAUCAGUCUUGCAUGGACAUCCAAUUUCAUAUUCUUCAUUGCCGACCUGCUUUGCUCCAGUAUGGCACUACACAAUAGAAAUCAAUUUUAUUUCAUUGAUCAGGAAUUUUACCACAAAGUGCUUACAAGGGAGCAACAAAGAAACCUACCUUCCAUGAAAAAGAGCCACAUGAGUGAGGGUGGAUGUAAAUCUUGCAAAUCCUGAUCCAAUUGACAAGGCAAACAGGGGGCUAAGGUAGAGCUUCCCAUAACUGUUAUAAGCAGGAAUAUUUAGAUCAUACUGUGGUGUCAAGAUCUUGGUGGUAUCAUAUUUGUGCCCACUAGAAGUGAACAGCUGAUUAGAGAAUAUUGGGAACUUUCGAGCAUCAAAAGUGUCGAACUUCCAGUAACACAGAGGGACAAUUAUGUAGAUGAACAUAACAAAGCCAAUCCCUACAUUAAGAAUAGAUGUCCACGGUGUCACGAGGGGACUGCCAUGGUAAGCUGAAAUCCCAGCCCAGUCAAGUGUAAAUGCACCAAUACCAAGUCCAUGAUAACCGGAACCAAUUUGCUGUGCUGUUAUACUGUGAGGCCAUGCCCAGCAAACCCAUGAGAAGAAUGUCAAGAUCGGGAACAGGUAGCCAGGAAGUGUAUAAUAAGCAAAGCUUGCUGCCAAUGUAAUUAGGAAAAAUUGCAUCCGCGUUAAUCCUUUGCUUUUCGAUUCCUUUUCAUGAAGUGCUCUGUAACAACAAAGUUAUUUGCAUGGGUGAAUAUGAAUUAUUCUCGGUGGAAUGCAAAACAAGAAGUCAAGAAGCUAAUUAUAUUUGUUCAAUUACUUUUACCCAAUUCUUUCUACCUUUACCAAUGAUCUUCUAGGAAUAUAGACAUGUAAAAAUUCUAAAGUCACAACCACGAACAAAUAAAGAAAGUGAGCUUAUUUAGAAAUUAAAAACCAAGGAGAAUAAAAUUAUUUGGCAUUUUCAAUGUAGCUUUAACCCCACAAAAAAUUGAAGACUCAACUAAUUCAAUUUUGUAGUUUCGGGUCCCACUCGUGGAAAAUCUAAUGUUCCAAAAGUUCAAUCUCUUUCUUGCUUUCCUUUCUAACAUUUUCCCGUGAACCAAACAGAAAUAAUAAUUUAGAAAAUUACCCAAACAGAAAGAAAAUGUGAAAGGCACACAGACCUGAAUAGAGAAACCUGAGCAAGAUUUGAAGGCCACCACAUCUCCACAGGAUCAACCAGGUACCUCCUCAGCAUCCCAGCCCAUCCAUAUCCCAAUAUCUGUGUAUAUAUAUUUAUACACCACCAAAAGUCACAUUAUUUUUCCCACCGAAAAAAAAAAUAACAAUAAUAAAUCAAAGUUGCAAAUAAUUAGAGUUAAUUUUUUUAAAAAUAACCUGAGUAGUCAAGACUAUAAGUAGCCCACAAAGAAAAUUCAAGCUUUGCUUAUAAUAAGCUUUCAUAACAGUUAUGGCACCAAUGGAGUAGGCAUCACCCCCACCAAAAGACACCCCACAGUUAGCAAAGAUGGUGAUGAUCACAUGCUCUUUAAUGUUAAACGGUCCAGGAUUCAGGCUAAACCUCCAACCAAGAACCUGAAACUCCUUGUUGGGAAGAAUCCUGGCCAUGAACUUGCCAAUUGGAAGCACAGCAAUUUGCAUAAGGAUUGCUGAAAUUGUGAGCGGCUGCGUACGGAAUGUGAAGAAUGUGUUGAGAAAGAUGAGCAACGUGCAUGAAGUUAACCCAAGAAACCAUGCACGAAAAGUCAUCACUGGCAUCGUUGGAUCGUCAGUUUCAGGCACAAUCAAGGCAACUUCUUCAAUCGGGCAUCUCUCUUCUGUUGAGUCUCCGUUUGGAUUUUCAUUACUUUCUGUCUGAGUCUUGGUUGCCAUUGUUUCUCAACACUCCAGAGAAUACUGCUGAGAAAAUAAUAACAACUACAGUUUCUUAUCUUUAAGACAAUAAGUCACCUGUAAGUACACUUUCACAUGUGUGAGAACGUUUAGUACUUCGCUAAUUCGCUUGAUAAGUGUGUGGUUACUUACCAGGCUGUAUAUAUACACACACAACACACCCACAUACAUACAUGCUACAUACAUACGUGUGUGCGUGCGUGUGAAAUGAGGUUGAUUUUUUAGGACGACGAUGCCCUUUAAUUUUUAUUUAUUUUACGAAUUUGGCAAUGUUUCUUGACCUUUUGAUCUGCCUUGUCAACUGAGUUUACCUAUUGAUCCGUCUAUGGAGUUCUGUGACGGCUGAUAAAGUGUGGACUUCAGUGAUCACAAUAAUGCCCUCAUAUGGAAAAUGCUCGCAUGUUAGUUGAUACUAGUCUCGUUAAUUUGUCUGUCUAUCUUGAUUCUUGAUAACAACCUUUCUUUCUAAAUGAUUGAAUUAACUAGUUAUAUAUAUAAAUAGGGAGAGAGAAGACAUCAUUAUUUUAACAGAGUGAGGAUACUAUUAAUAAAUAAAUAAAAAUAUCGUCUCUAAUAUAUUUAAAUAUGUAUUUUUUUUUGUAUUUUAAUAUGCAUAUUCACUUUAACAUCCUCACUAAAAUACAACUAUAUAAUAAUAAUUUUCUAGUGAUAACAUUAUCAUUUUAAUAAAGCGACAAUGUUACUAACAGAUAAACAAAUUAUAUUUUUUUAAUAUUUUAUUGUACAUCCUCAAUAGAGAAUGAGUAUAUAUAUAAAGGAUUUUGCUAUGUUACAUUGAAUGUACCAUACACAACCAACAAGAACCACACAAUUAUGUGGGUCCCACAAUUUAUGUGGUUCUUGUAGGUUGUGUAUGAUACAUUAAAUGUAACAGAGGGACUCCCAUAUAUAAAUAUAUUCAUGAAUCAUGUAGGUAUUAUCUCGACUGUGUUAUCUUGAGGAAACACUCACUACAAAUUAAAAUUACAAAGCUCUAGCUAAUCCACAUUCCACUCAACAAGCAAUUAUAAUAAUAUUCAAUUUGAUAUAUAGGUUAAAUAAUUUGUCAUAUUGAGUAGUUUAUUCCAACGGGACUUUGAUAUCGUUUAAAUUGAUUGACAUAAAAUAAUAUGAAUUGACCAAAAAAAUAUUUAUAUCAUUUAUAAAGAUUUAUUUUCAGUACUAAUCAUUUAUAAAGAUUUAUUUUCAGUACUAACUCAAUGAUUAAAAAAAAUUAGUUUUUGUAUUAUUUGAAAUUCAAUUUGAAAAAAAUACUUAUCAUAAUUGUUUUUAGUUACAUCAGUAUGGUUAAUUAUAUCUUAAUAUUCAAAAGAAAAAAACAAAACAUACUCGUUAAUUAUAAUGUGUUAAUCAUUUGAGUUGAGUGUGUGAACUAACUCCUAAAUCAACUACGUGUGAUUAGAGUUUAAACAAUAUUGGAUUGUCUUCUAAUUAACUGGCUAGUUGCUUGCUGCUGCCUGACAUUCUGAUGACAUCAAAUUUGGACAUCUGUCAAUAAUCAUUGAUUGUCUCGGGACUGUUUUUGGUAAUAAAAUGGCAAAUUCGUCACUCUAAUCCGAAUUAAGAGGAAGGGUUAAUUGGUAAAACGAAGUGUUUUUGGAGGAAAUAUUGGAAAAGUGGUAAUGGCUGCUUAUUGGUGUAAAGUGCUCCCUUUCCAACGCGUGGGAAAAUCACAUGCUCAGCCGCGACUGACACACUUGCUUCUUGGUUUGAACAAAAGACACCUUGGCUUCACAUGUGCUUUCUGACUGUGGGAUCCACCUCGACUCGUCCACGUAGGACUGUAGAGGUUCCACUACCCUGUCCGGAUUACCAGGUAGGACCAAAACUCGUGUAUUUCUCAUGUCCUCUUUGGAAGAGCCAAGGAUAAUGGGAUCCACGUGGCGACCAUGCUAAUGUGGUAACUUGCUGUCCCCAUUGAUAAUUAAAUAAAUUGUCCAUUAUGAAUUGAUUAGAUAUAAUAUUAAUUUAGCAUUUCCAGAUUCAUUUUUCAAUCGUAUCAUAUGCAGUAAAAUCUCAAAAAAAAAUAAUAAUAAUAAUUUUGUUGGAAUUAAAAAAGUAUUAUUUUAACUAAGUUAUUUAUUUAUCAAUAAAUUAAUAAUUUAUUAAUUUAAGUUUUUUAUUAAUUUAUUGAUAAAUUAAUGUUUAUUAAUUUAAUUUAAGUUUUUUUAAAAAAAAAUUAAAAAGAGUUUUGUUGGUACACGUAUAUAUUUACUUAUAAAAGAGCACAAAUGGUGUUGUUUUGAGUCAACAGUAUAUCUUCCAGUAGUUAUGUAUCCAUCGUAGUAUAGCUCCAUUAGGAAACUUGUAAUUACACAAUUUAUUUUUCUUUCUUCAUUCGAUUUGUAUAAUCAUGUACGUAUGUAUCAUUAUUGUGCAAACCUUUGAUAUUAAGGAUGAGUUUGAGUUCAAUUUAGGAAAAAAAAAAUAAACAUAUUUACAUGUAUAUUUUGUUAAGAGUUGAAUUCAAAUAAUUGAAGAUGUAAGAGAAAAAGAAAUUGCUUAAUGUUAUGAAUUUUAUAUUUUAUUCAUUAUUAACUUUUAUUUAAUAAAUUAUUAAUUAAUAUUUACGUUGGGCCCAAAUGAUUCAAAAUAAUUAUUAUCUUAUACAUUUAGUGAAUUUAUUAAUUUAGUACACUAGCGAAAUUAAAAGAUUUUAUUAUUUAAUCAAGAUUGUUAAUUUAUCGAAGUUGACAUUUUACUUACUUGUAUACAGUGAUGAAAGCAUUAACCUAGUUACAAAAUAUCACUUACGAUGAAAGUUAAUUCUCCUUUUAAAUAUUUGUUUAUUUAACGAGAUUUAAUUACCAAUUUAACAUAAGAAACCUGGGAACUCGAUUGCACGACAUCACAACAUACCUUUUACGAACUAAAGUUUUGUAAUAGCAUUAUUAUAAUAUACGGAAGACUUUGUAUAAUAAGCAGAGGUUAGAGUUUGUUUCUUUUCUAUUUUGGUUAAAAAAGAAAAAAAAAAAAUCCAAUCGUUCUUUGACAGAAAUAUAUACAUACAUAUAUGCUCCAUUAAAUCUUUUUUUUUUCUUUUUUUUAAAGAAUUUUUCUAUCAAGCGUUAGAACUUUUGAUGCACACAAGAAUUAAAAAGAAAGGAAUUCACUCCUGUGUUAUGAGCAAGUGGUGGGUCCUAAGGCAGAGCGAAGAAGUUAGAAAGAUUGGAAACAUUGAGGCAGAUGGAGGAUUAGAAACCGAUCAUUUUUUUUUUUUUCCAUUUGGUGGAGGGACCCGAGAUUCUACAUUGGUGAGUCGAGAGCGAGUGUUGACUCUCUUUAUUUUCAUCAUUUAAAAGUCACUAUAACAAAAGCAAAUUAAGCUGCAACUUUGAAUUUGCCAAAAUGAUAAGACAAGUAGAGAUCAACUAGUCACUCGGAUCGAUUCUUGCAUUGCAUUUGCAUGUGAGCCUUAUCUUUUAGAUAUAUAUACCACUGGAUAGGUAAUGUAUAUCAUCAUAAACUAUGCUAGUACUUGGAAUAUUGGAUAACUACAGAGAUAACAUACUAUUUACCGGCCUCUGACUAGAAACCAAAUAUAUGUUUUUCCUCCCCCACUCUUAUGGAUUGAAAAGAAGCAGAAAUUAAACAGGAAGUAGUAUUUCUUCUACAAGUCAUCCAAAAAAAAAAAAAAAAAAACGAUGAGGUUUCUUAGAAGCACAUGCUACACUUUGGAUUUAAUUAGUGUGUGAAUAUAGUAGUUGAUUAAAUGUCUCAAUCAAAAUGGUAUACUCUCUCUCUCUGUCUCUCUCUCUCUGUCUCUCUCUCUCUCUAUAUAUAUAUAUAUAUAUAUAUAUAUAAAGUCGAUGUAAAGUGACAAAUAUAUUCUUGACCAAAAAUAAAAAAAAAGGACGGGGGAAUUUCGAAUUUCUAGUUUCCGUUCAGAGAAUGUUGUGGGCAAAACCAUGGUAUAAUGAACACCGGGCAUGCAUGUGAAUACUUUAUUUAUUCUGUUCCUUCAUCAUCUUGCUUUAAUUUUAUUAUGUUUUAUAGACGUAUCUGUCAACUUAUUUAUAAUUCUUUAAUAUUUAUCAUUGUGUAGACAGUAGAGGUGUCAUCGCGCGACUGCCCAAAAGAUAUAUACGCACACUAUCCCCUCCAGGAUUUAUGCUAUUGUUGGAAGCCUCUCUUUAAUAAAAUAAAUAAAUAAAUAAAUAAAUAAAAGAAAGCGAAUGUAUGACCGAGGCUUUUGAUAACUUUUACCAAUGGUCUUUAAUUACCUGUUUGUCCUAUCGGAAGUUCACAGUUUUCGGGCAUGAAUUUAAUUAUCUUCUUUAAUUAAUAUUUACUCAAACUAAUCAUGGCUCUCAUAAUUAGUAUCAAAGAUUUUAUCAAAAUUAGUUUGUUUGAACUCUAAUUGGGUUCCACGUGAGCCUCAGCCGCCACUAUUAAAUUAAAUUAAUGAAAAAGUAGAAAUUUUUUUUGUUUUUUUACUAACUUUCAUUUUUCCCAUUCUAAUUUGAAAUGUCUAAAAUACCCACUUAAAUAACCAUUUUUAGAUUUUACCCUUUCUUUUAUCUUUGCUCACUAUCAUUCUCCCCCACUAUCCUUCAUUUUCUGAUUUUUCUGCAGGGAUGAGAGCAAUAAUUUCACAUCAUCGAACAGCCCAUUUCUACCAAAAUCAUAAUUAUGAACGAAAGUAACAAUAGCAAAACCAUGAUCUGGAAUCUGGAUCAUAGCCUCAUUCUCGUGGUCCCUCUUCAGCUUCUAUAUGAUGCUAACAUAUCCUACUAAAAGAAGUGAGCAAAAAAAAGAAAAAAAAAAUUGAAAGAAAAAAGAAACUGCAUCUUCACUAGUUGCUGAGAAGAUAGGUGGCUCAUGCCCGGUUCCAAGAAGACUAAUAGUGGGUGUGACUGUGUGAGUGUGUAUGGUUGGUAAUUAUGAAAGACUACGGUUGAAACUAAUUGUUCAACAAGUAUGACAGAAGGAAAAAUCAUUAGUUACUUUGAAUUAUGAAAAUAACUCUAAUUAAUUGAAAAAUAAAGGCUCAUUAGAUAAAUUAAGGGAUGAAAUAUCACCACUUAUGAAGAGGAUGAAUUAGAUCCAACCACCUGUUCAUUUGAAAAGGCCCAAAAUAAUGCAUAUGAUAAUAGUGGGCUUGGUCGUCUUACAAAUUAUUUUCAUUAAUAAAAUACUCUUCAAUCUUUCUUUCGGCGGUAGUGAAGUGGGGGAGACUGCACGAAAAGGAUGAAUGUGGGUCAAUUGAAUCAUAUGGGCACCUGCCCGGAGCCUGUAGGUAAGUUGAUAAUCACUUUUGGAACUAGUUAGGACAAUCACUUUUGGUAGAUAUUUUCGCAAAACCCUUAACUAAUUUAGAGCACUGGCCACGGGAUCGAUGGCUAAAAUAAUAUGGAAGAAAGAAGGCUAGCAAAGCAAGAACCACAACAUUAAUUAAGCUAUAGCUUAUUCAAAGAUUAUACAAGAACGAAUCAAUGACUUCAAAUCGCUCACUACUAACUUAUAUCUUGGUCGAUUGGUAGAAAUGAAUUCUAACCAAAAGAGCUCAUAUUUCAUUGAUCUCUCUCUUGGAUUCUUGCUCGACAUCAUUGAUGCAUGGGUAGUGUGGACCUUCUGAUUAAUUCAUCUUUAUCGGAAUAUAUUUUCAGAAAGAUCAUUCCAAGUACUCGAGACAAACUAGGUCCUGCUUUUGGAAAUUGUCUUUAAUGUUGACUUUUCACUCAUUGACUUAUUGAGUCCAGUGAAUCUGUUCGACGAUCUAGAUUUCGAUAAUGAGCCUGUGGUCCUUCCUAUAUAUGAAUUUGUAUAUUAUCAGAGUAUUUAUUUGUAAUCAUUUGCGGUCAAUCAAUAUAUGCGCCUUAGCCAAAGGGGAAUUUAAAUAAUUUCCAAUAUCUGAUCUUGUAAUCAAUUUUUGUUAAAACUCAUUUGUGGCUUCAGGGCGGCCUGCAAUAGGUUGCACAUUCUGUGGAAACGCAGGCCUUUGAAUACUACCACAUCUACCCUCACAUCACAUCCAAUGCCGCACAGUUUGAUUGCGCCCGCGCAUCAAGUAUUUCCGAUUUCUGUUCCUAGACUAGAUUCCACUCUCGAGAACCACUAGUUGUUACCACUAUCUCAAAAUCCUCACCAACCAACAUUUCAAAUAAAAUCCAAAUCUAUUCUUCACAUGGGCUAAUAUCAAAUAAAUCAUUGUCGGAUUAAUCUUUUUCCUCUAUUUUCUUUUAUAGGAUUUUCCUAGAUUGUUAUGCUUGCUUGUCAAGGUAUAAAAGUAGAGUUCAAGAUCGAGCUACAGUUGUUAAAAAGCGGCCUCCCUAGUAUUCUGAUCGUGGGUUCAAGUCUCACUAGUAGUGUGUGCGUGUUAAUAAGAAAGAAAGAAAAAAAAAAUAGAAGUCCAUGAAUCUAAUCCAUCUUAAAAAGUAGUCCAAGAACAGAGUUGCUCAAGCUUUAUAUAUUUAGGCUAAAGAUCAAUUCUCCAUGGAUAGUAUAGUCUCACAAUAUAGCCUACUAUAAAGCCCAUAAUUAAAUUACAAUAAGCCCAAUAUAAGAGUCUAAAACAAAUGUCAAUACACAAUUAUACUCUAAAAUUUACUCGGAAACUCAAUCCCUCUACUUUAAUGGUGUAUAUAUUAAUCAGUAAUUGGAAUGGAGUAAAAUUAAAAUGGGGUAAAAUUAGAAUAGGGAAUGUCAAUCAUAAUAAAUUGUUUACUUUAGCUGUGGGAAUCGAAAUCAUAAUGAACUGCAUUACCAUUGAUGUGUUUAAUUUAUAUUGGAAUCAAUGGAUUAUUACAAAUUAGUAAACUGACCUUAGUUUAUUAUUGUCAUUUAUUAUUAUUAUUAUUAUUAUUAUUAUUAUUAUUAUUUGAUAUAUAAUGAAAGAUAAAAUAAAAUUUUUAAAAUUUAAGUAGGGGUAAUAUGGUUACUUUAGUGAAUGAGAUUCUCAUUCCCACCUCCUCUAUGAAAAUGAAAACUCUAAUAAUUAUUCUCAAUUUUAAGGUUGUAUUUACUUUUUGGAGUGGGAGUGAGGAGUGUGGAUUCCUCCCACUACAGUGUUUACUUCAAUAAAUUGAGGAAUGAUUGGGAAUCCCACUCCGUGGGCCCCACCCAUUUUUGGAGUGGGGAGUGGGACUCCCUACCCUUUUUAAUUUAAUUUACUGCUGUACGGCCANNNNNNNNNNNNNNNNNNNNNNNNNNNNNNNNNNNNNNNNNNNNNNNNNNNNNNNNNNNNNNNNNNNNNNNNNNNNNNNNNNNNNNNNNNNNNNNNNNNNNNNNNNNNNNNNNNNNNNNNNNNNNNNNNNNNNNNNNNNNNNNNNNNNNNNNNNNNNNNNNNNNNNNNNNNNNNNNNNNNNNNNNNNNNNNNNNNNNNNNNNNNNNNNNNNNNNNNNNNNNNNNNNNNNNNNNNNNNNNNNNNNNNNNNNNNNNNNNNNNNNNNNNNNNNNNNNNNNNNNNNNNNNNNNNNNNNNNNNNNNNNNNNNNNNNNNNNNNNNNNNNNNNNNNNNNNNNNNNNNNNNNNNNNNNNNNNNNNNNNNNNNNAAAUAGUUUAUUUUAAAAAAAAUUAAUUUCAUACUAUGUUAAUAGUAAAAAUAUUUAUUGCCCUUAUCAACAAUUUUAAAUUUAUAUAAUUAAAAUUAAAAUUAAUAAAAAUUGUGAUGUUCAUAAUGGCCGUACAGCAGAAUUAUUAUAAAUUUACAAAUAUAAUAAAAUAAAUGUUUAUUCAUUAAAUAUAUUUUUAUUAACUUUGUAAUUAAAAAUUAUAAUUAUUUAAAUAAGGAUAAAAUUGUAAUUUGAAAUUAUUUACUCCCAAUACAAGACAAAGUAAAUACAUAAAUUGGAUUCUGAUCUCUAUUCCAUGCUUCCAUUCUAGUGUAAGUAAAUAACCUACUCCCACUCUCAAUCCUAAUAUUUCCACUCCUCAGAAUUCUCACUCCAAUCCAAAACGUAAACGCUACCUAAGUGGAGUCCAAUACUUUGAUUCAUAUUCCACCUCUCAUUUAAGUAAAUAAAAAUAUAAUUUAUUUCUAUUUCUUGAUUUUCAUUCUCAUUUUCAUUUCCAAUAAGUAAACACACUAAGAUUAAGGAAAUUGAAGCGCCGACCAACACAAAUACACAAUAAUAAAUUUGCAAACUCCAUGUCAAGUUUGUCGGCUGUAGCUGCAUGUAUAUUCAUAGUAACCCAACUGCUAAUGGGCUUUAAAUUUCAGUUAAUUAAAUUAAAAUUUGUGAAGCCAUUUAUUAAAAGGUGUAUUUACCCUCUAACAACACAUUUUUUUUUUAGUUAUAGUGAUUUGACACCAGAGAUGACAUAGCGUAUUAAAAAUUUAUUAAAUAUCCAAGUGAUAGAAAGAAUUUCUAUUACUUACAUAAAUUUUUCUUCUCCCUACGCUUUGGUUGGACCAUAUAUGUAGUACUGCAUUACAUAUAGUGACAGUGUAUGAAUAACAUUUAAUUUUUUUAUAUUUUAAAUUUAUUAACCACCGAUUAACAAGUGAAUUUUUGCUCAGAAGAAGUUUAGAUUGAAAGAGGAUAUUAAUCCAAUACUUAAUUAGAAUAUGAAAACCAUUGCAUUUACCAAUUAAAUGAGUAUUAAAAAAUUUAUUAUGAACUCAAGUGUAAAAAGAGAUUCUUAAUGGGACAUGUUAUUCUCCAUGAGUGUUUCAAAGAAAUAAUAAAAUAAAAUUGCCUGCUUAUAGUGAUCGAAACAUCAAAAUUAGCAAGGACGUCUCUUGUUAAUUUUAAGUUUUCUUAGUUAAUCAUAGAUACAUAUAAAAUUUUCAAUGAGGAUUCAUUGUAAGGCUCAUUUAUAACAUUAUUCUCUUGUUAAUUUUAAGUUUUCUUAGUUAAUCAUAGAUACAUAUAAAAUUUUCAAUGAGGAUUCAUUGUAAGACUCAUUUAUAACAUUAUUAUUCCCACACUUUAAUAAAGAGUAGAAAUACUCAUUGAAAAAUCAUUUAUAAAUGUUAAGAAGUAUGGUGGCCAAAAAUAAUAUAGCUUUUGGUGAAAACCAACAUCUAAAAUUCAAGAACAUUUGUAUUGUGUCACUAAGAAUCACUAAUCAAAUAUGCAAAAUUGUACAUGAAUCCAUAGUGUUUAAUUACUCUUUAGAGUCGUGUGGUUUGUCUUGUAGGUCAACAUAUUUUCUUAGAGAAUUCUUUAAGUUCUCAAUACACUUUCUUAAAAAAAAGAAAAGAAUGAUACAUGUGAUCUGAGGAUGAUAACUAUUUAUAGAGAUGAUUUUUCCUGUUAUCUUUAGUAUUUCAAUCCAUUAAAAAAAUAGACAUUAUUCGUAAAUCUCUACACAUUAAAGACCCAUACCUAUCAGAUACAUUUAAGUCUAUAUUACUGAAAAUCUUAAUAUAUCACUUUUAAUUGAACUUAACUUUUAUAUGAUAGUUCGCAAUACGUAAUUAUUCACAUAUAAGCUCAACAUUGGACUAAGGAUCUAACGACGUCAGAUUAAAGACCUAACAUAUAAUACAACUGGAUUUUCAAAAUGUAUUGCUAUUAGCCAAUUAUAUAAGUUCGUACUUUUAGUAGCUAAAGAGGAAAUUAACAUGCACAUAGGUUAGACCUUAUAACCUAAAGAUGAUUCGCAACCAAUAAAUCCAGAUCAAUUUCAGCCUCCGCUCACAUAAGUAGUCACAUAUUAUUAGCGUACAUAUCAAUAUAAAUGUCAACGUAUAAAAUUUGCAUGGAAUUAAUUAAUGCAUAUUAGUAAUAUUGCAUAAAUAGCUGAACAAGAUUAAAGACAUCAAAAUUAAACACAGCUAAUAAUAAUGAUGGUCACAUAACAAAGCAAGCAUUUGGAUUCUCAUCACUGAAAAUUUGAGGGGCAUAAGCAAACUCCGAGUAGUUCUUGGUUGCCCAAUACUCGCUUCUGUUGAUAUUAAAAUCAAGCUGCUGCUUAUUCUUUUCUUCAUCUACCUUGGCUUCCUCGCCUCCGUCUUUCUUUUCUCCUUCUUUCUUCUCUUCUUGUUUCUUUUCUUCAUCCUUCACAAUGGAAGCUUGCUUUCUUGUUUUCUUGUUCACAUCAUUUACUAGCUUCACAGGAUCAACUACACCUUUUACAAUUACCUGGCCACUGGCUAGGUUGGUUUCCACACACUCCACACCUACAGUAAUAGCAACACAUUAAGUUCAAUGAGUAAUAUAUUUGUAGUAUCAGUGGGAAAUGAGAGUGCCAAUGAAAAUAUAUACCUUGGAUCUUUCGUAUACGUUUCCUCAAACCUUGAGCGCAUGCUUCGCAGUGCAUCCGAACAUUUAGGACCACUGUUAUAGCGGCAGGAGGCUGCCACCAAAAGCAAAGGAAAUAGUUACAGCUGCCGUUAACUAAUCGAGCAUGCAGAAAGCCACAUAGAGAGAUUUCAAAGAAAAUAACAAGGUCACAGUUGAUUACUGAUUCUAUGAAUCAGAUUAGACAAAUAAUUCCGGAGACAGAAGCCUGUAAGUGGUGGCCUAAUUGGAUACCAUAUCCAAUUCUAAUGAUCAUUUUCUCUAGGGUUAAAACAUAAGAAACUCAUAAGAAGCCAAAUAGCUCAACGCCCGACAAAAUGAGACGGCCGAAAGUAGCAAACACAAGACAAGCUGCCUCGAGAAACCUACAUAGUAUAUAUCAACUAUUCACGCAACAAUUAAUUAAUUAAUUAAUGCUUUCGCUCCUUUUAAUUUUUACACCCAAUUUAUAAAGUUGAUAUUUAAUUAAACAAAAUUGGAUCAUUAUACAUAUAAAAGAUGGAUACAGUUUAUAUUUUAGACUCAAAUAAUCCAACUGUAUUUUCAGUAGAAAUAUUUCAAUUACUGCAAUAUAUGUAUAUGAGACAGAGAGGCUAUUAAUAUUUUAUAAGACUAACUAGCUAUAGGGGUGAGUGGUGGGCAAAAUGUUGUGGGGCAAUUUCGUUUUCUUGUAUGAAAUUUGGAGAAAUGAGAAAUCAACAACCCGUGAACCCCAUGGCCACGCAGAUGCAGGUUGCAGAGUGCAUCAAGUUGGGGAACUGUGGGGUCAAAACCCUAUACAGUGUCAGUACUCAUUGUCCACCUUCCUUGUAAUACGUGCCUUUGUAAAGAAAUAGAAUGGAGCUGCCUUGUUUUGUUAUUUUCAUUUCAUAUCAGCCACAGCCACCAGCCACAGGCAACAAGAUUCACUACAUUUACUUCCAAAUCAUCCACUAAUAAUAAAAAAAAGAUUUGAGGUUUAAAUAAUAAUUACCUCUUCCUUUUUCUCUACUUUCUGCUGUUCCUUUUUCUCCUGAUCAUCAGCAUCAGGAGGAGGUGGCUUUGGCAAAGGCGAAAUCAACUCCACUUUUCUACCGCUUUUCUUUUGUAGCCUCUCACACACCUUUAUCGGGUCUGCUGUCUUUCCUUUCACCACCACUUUACUCGCCUUGCUAUCCGCAGUAAUAUCAUCAACUCCUGCCAACAAUAAUAUUACAUUUAUUUAACAUCAAUUUUAAUUAAUUCAUAGCAUUCUUUAUUAAAAUCUCUAAUAAUUUAUUUAAUAUUACAAAUACCACGACACACACCUUUUUUUCCUUUUUUUUUUUGGGUGAGAUAUGAGCACAUCAUUAAGUUGAUUAUUUGGUUUUCCAUUUUCCUUUUUUUUUUAAGGNNNNNNNNNNNNNNNNNNNNNNNNNNNNNNNNNNNNNNNNNNNNNNNNNNNNNNNNNNNNNNNNNNNNNNNNNNNNNNNNNNNNNNNNNNNNNNNNNNNNNNNNNNNNNNNNNNNNNNNNNNNNNNNNNNNNNNNNNNNNNNNNNNNNNNNNNNNNNNNNNNNNNNNNNNNNNNNNNNNNNNNNNNNNNNNNNNNNNNNNNNNNNNNNNNNNNNNNNNNNNNNNNNNNNNNNNNNNNNNNNNNNNNNNNNNNNNNNNNNNNNNNNNNNNNNNNNNNNNNNNNNNNNNNNNGGGGGGGGGGGGGUGUGGGUGGUAAAAAUAAACGUGUUAAAUUUUGAGUUGCUUUUGAAAAGUAAUUGUUACAAAUUUAUGCUAGAAAUUUUGGACAGUAUUUGAUUAGAAUAUACAUGUGAUAUAUUCUUAAUUUUUAAAACAAGGUUAAACAUAGCUAGAAAUUUGAAUUAAAAUUAGAUGGACGGUAGAUAAAGAGAGAAUAAUAAUGACCUUCAAAUCCUUUCAAGGCUCUAGCAACUUUUCUAGCACAAGCUUCACAAUGCAUAUCAACUUUGAGUACGAUCUCAGGAGUCUCUUCUUCUUUCUUCUCUUCUUCUUUCUUCUCCUUUUUGGCUUCUUCUUUCUUUUGCUCCUCUUUGUUCUCCUUUGAUUUCACACCCCACAAACAAAAAUAGUACAAAUAUAUAUCAAAUAUUUUGAGCUAGCUAUCACCUAAUUAAAACAACAAGAACAAUAAAAGGUACAACAACAAGUGAAAGAAAAAUGAACAACAAUUUGAGAUCUUCGACUAUGAGGAUUAAUAAUAUUAUACUUACUUACCUCACCCAUUAUGUUUGUGAUGAUCCUAAAACAAAGAAGCUCAAGCGGAGUCUGAGCCCUGAGGCUGGGGAACAGUUGUGUAUGAGCAAAUUGAUGAUGAGCAGCUCUUCACUCCUGCUUCAAACUCUUUCUCUCUCUUUAGUUCGCAUUGUUUUGGGGUGGUGGUGGGGAGUGAACGUAAUUUAAAAGGAACGUGGAAAUCUGCAAAUCUGACGUGGACUUGUUUAAUACAUGGUCCUUAAGGGCUAAGGCUGACCCACCGUCUCCUUAAAUGCCCUUCAUCUUUUCCCGAAAUGGCAUGCUAGCUAGCUACUGUUUGUCAUCUGUAUUAAAAGCAUCACUAGGACAAGAUCGUCAUAAUAUGACUUCAUAUAUAUCGGACAAGAUGGUCAUAAUAUGGGGGAACCUUAGGUGCAACUGUGACACCGUGCCACAGUUGUAUUUAGCCAUUGGAUGUCAGUGGACCCCAUCAAUCCAACUGCAUCCAACGGCUAGAUGUAACUGUGGCACGGUGCCACAGUUGCACCGUAGCCUGAUCCCAUAAUAUGACUUCAGUCUUCAUAUAUAUCAUGAUUCAUUCAUACCACUCGAAAAUCACUUAUUGCUUUUAUAAUAUAAUUAAUAAUAAAAGUUCCGGAAAGAUCUUGAUAAGGUUUUCUUUUGCAUGGCUAGCAAAGAACAAAGCUUCUUCUUUCACAUUAUUCUUUCGUCUUGAUGCAAGAUACUUUUAUUUUUAUAUUUAUGUCUUUUUGGCUUCCCUCUUUAUUGAUAUUGACAUUAGUUACAUUGCUGUGGAUGGGUUGUCAGUGACAAAUGAUAAUUAUCUUUUGACAAAUCUUCGUAAAUAAGAUUAUCAUACAAAAAAAAGGGCUGAAAUCUAAUGAGUAAUGGCUGUGGCUUAAUUAUGAAAGAACAAAAAAGACAAGCGUUUGUGGAUGGAUGGAUGGAAACGUGGCUGUCACUUUGUGAAUAAUUCUUUGGAAUGGAGCCCGCCGAUUUUGGAUUCCAAGCCGGAAUGAUACUAUGCUUGCUCGAUAACACAAUCAAGAUGUACACUUUAUGGUCACAGAGUCAGCCUGGGAUGGCUAUCAAGUAUCUUGAAAAAGUACUGGAGCAGGCAUCGUAUCGCAUUGCAUCAGAUGGGAUCCCAUUUUCCAUUUUUAACCAUUCACUGAGUGACAUGCGUGGUGAUCAUACACAUUAUCAUCACUUCAUUAUAUUGGAGUGACACAUGUGAAAGAAAAAGGGUGGGAAAGAUAAAGAAGAAAAGGUUAUUCAUUUGUUGUCCUUAUGUAAACAACUUGAGCCUCAACCCUACCCUUCACCCAAAGUGAAGGCUCAAAUCAAUAUGAAAGAAUUUUACAAAUUAAUCAUGCAUGCAUGAAAAUUAAUUAAUAUGGUAAUGAGCAUCUUUUGUUAAAACCAGAUAGAAAAUGUAAUAGGUGUGUAUAUAUGUAUAUGUAUAUAUAAAAUCAUGCAUUCUUUCUUGGGGAAUGGUAAUUCUGAAUUUGGACCGUUGAUUUAAUUAUAUAUUGAAUUCAAGUGAGUCCUUAUGUUACAUUAAAUGUAACAUACACACUCCACGAUAACUACACAAAUAAUAAGUCCACACAAUUUAUGUGAUUGUUAUAAAAUAUAUAUGUUACAUUUCAUGUAACAUAACAUUUGCCAUAAUUCAUAUCUACGCAAUGGAAUGGAACAUGAAAAAAGGACGAAAAGGAAACAGAAGCUGCAUGACUUUUCCCAGGAUCAAAAGUUGAUUCUGAUAUGUAAUGAUGAUGAUGACAACCAGAACCCUGAUUCCUGAAAGCCGAAAGCAAAUAAAAUCCGUGGAAGUUCAGCAAAAGCAUAAGAUCGAUUCUGUAAGAAUAUGAUUGCUGCCCAUGUCGGUAUUAAUUAAUUAUUGAAAACUGAUUUGAAAUUGCACUCGAAAUGAGGACAGUACACUAUAAUUAAUUAAUGGGUCCGGUUAUAUUAGAACUGUUUGACGGUGGAAUACUAAUGAUGCGAUCGUAGACCAGUCUACCUUUGUGUACUGGUUUUCCUUCAACGCUGGUCAAGAGCGACGCUGCAGCCUGCAGCUCUGCAAUGUUUGCGUUUGCGGCUCAGGUUGGUGAGUGAGGGCAUUUAAUUUAACUUGCUGACUCUGAAGCUCAGACCAUUAAUUACUAUCAGCUCAUAGCAUGUGAGGCCCAGAAACAAAAUUUGGGCUCGGCCUAAAUAAUGAUAUUCUUUGAACACGCCGUCGGGCUCUCUAGCCCACCUCGUAAAUAGCAGCAGUUCCUUUAAAAUUCUCAAAGGGCUCCCGUCCUAAUUAUGAGAUUAAUAUUAUGAUCUUUUAUAUGUAUUUUUCCAAUAUGGGAAUAAGCAAAAGAAAACAAAAAUAUAUACUCCAAUAUAUUAUUGUAGUAUUUACUUAGGGGGAUUGCCAAUUUCUACCUUAUAGUAAUCAAUAUAUACCAUUUUCCCUCAUAUUGUUUUUAUAAUGGUCAAAAAUCUCAUUGACAGCAUAAGUUUACAAUAUUACCCUUAUUUUCAACAACUCUUUUAUUUAUAUUUAUUAUAAAUUAAAUAAAUUACAUGAAUAGAAAUAAAAUAAAAAAAUAAGUAUUAAAAAUAAGAAAUAUAUGUUUUAAUAUGAGAAAAAAAAAUUAAUAAUAAAUUUUUUUUGUAAUUAUUUAUUUUGUGAACAUUUUCUUAUAAUAAAAUUUUGUAAUAUUUUAAAAUUAAAUGUAAAAAAUAUAGGCAAAAUAUUUUAUUAUUUAUCUUAUAAUAAAUUUUUAUUUGUCAUUCAAGUUUUCUUAUAAUAAUUUUUUUAUCAUUUUAUAAUAAUUUUCAAUGAAGUAACUUUUAUAUGUGUCCUGAAUGCAUGUAGCCGAAUGGGAUUGGUGGAUCAAGGGUUGAGAAUUUUCAAGAGCAUGAGUGAGAUUUAUGGGAUUGAGCCUGGAGUUCAACACUAUGGUUGUUUGGUAGAUCUACUGGGGAGAGCCGGGAUGCUAGAAGCAGCCAAAAAAGUGGUGAGAGAGAUGCCAAUUGAACCAGACAAUUAUGUACUGGGUGCAUUGCUCAAUGCCUGUAGAGUGCAUGGUGAUGUUGACUUGGGCAAGGAAACAGUUGAGAGCUUGGUUGAGCGGAGUCUUGACCAUGAAGGCGUUCAUGUGCUUCUAUCAAAUAUAUAUGCUUCUACUGAACAAUGGAACGGGGUGGAAAAGGUUAGAAGGGGAAUGGAAGAUAACGAGGUAAGAAAGGUGCCCGGUUGCAGUUUGAUAGAAGUGGAUGGUGUGGUUUGUGAAUUUGUUUCUGGAGAGAGGACAAAUGUGCUUAUGGAGGAAAUUGUAUUAUUGUUAUUUGGGAUUGACAAGCACUUGAAGUCUCUAUGUUUCUUUGAUGAUGGCAAUGAAGUGGCUACUGAAGGAGGAAGUCUACUAGAUUGUCAGAAAGGCUGGUAACCCUUGUCUCAGUUUCAUUUCCUGGCUUCUUGGCCUUUAGCCUGUAGAAAUUUGCAGGUAAACUGUUGUCAAGCUACUUAAACCAUGUAAUUAUCACGAAUCAAUUUAUUCAGAAAAUUGAUGAAAUUAUUCUUCAGUCAUCAUGCAUAUUUGCAUUCAUGUCUACCUAAAAGGCUAGAUUGAGAGCCCAUUCAAAUUAAAUAUAAGGUAUGAACCAUGCGAAAUGAAAUGUCUGUUUUGGUAGUACAAAUAAUACUCUAAAAGAAAUGUUUUCACUUGUCCAAUGUCCGGUGUGAAUGUGUGAUGUGGGUAUCGGUUGACUUCUGAUUUCUUUCUCCUUUUUCACGUAGGCACCACUGUUGUAUGCAGUAAGAAGGAGUAUAGAUGUUCUAUUAAUUAUCUGUUGGUUCAUAAUUACAAUUAAUUACUAAUAUCAUACUGCGUUUUUUUUUUUAAAGGAGUAUUGACACUUUCCCCCCUACAGAAAUCAACAUAUACCAUUUACCUCUCUACUGUUUUUAUAAUGGUCAAAAACCCCCCGGACAGCAUAAGUUUACAAUAUUACCAUUAUUUUUAAAUACUCUUUUAUUUACAUUUAUUAUAAAUUAAAUAAAUUGCAUGAAUAGAAACUAAAAUAAAAAAAUAAGUAUUAAAAAUAAGAAAUAUAUGUUUUAAUAUGAGAAAAAAAAAUUAAUAAUAAAUUUUUUUUGUAAUUAUUUAUUUUGUGAACAUUUUCUUAUAAUAAAAUUUUGUAAUAUUUUCUGCAAAAAAAGUAUAAGAAAAAAAAAUUAUUAUUAAUUUUUUUGCUCAUAUCAAAACAUAUAUUUCUUGUUUUUAAUACUUAAUUUUUUAUUUAAUUUGUACGGUACAGCAGUAUUUAAUUUAUAAUAAAUAUAAAUAAAAGAGUAGUUACAAAUAAGGCUAAUAUUGUAAACUUAUGCUGUCAUGUGGGUUUUUGGCCAUUAUAAAAACAGCAGGGGGGAAAAUGGUAUAUGUUGAUUACUGUAGGGGGGAAAUUGACAAUCUCCCUAUAUACUUACUAGAAUGGGAUUUGAAAGUGUGAAGUGAGAGUCUCACCCAUGGGGUCUUCCUUUUUUUACCCUUCAUUCAUUAAAUAUGAUAUGAUUUAUCUUUAUUAAAAUAAUUUAAUGUUACAUUUUAAAAUAUAUAUAUAUAUAUAUAUAUUGAAUUAACAUUAUUAUAUUAUUUAAUAAUAUUACAUAUAUUAAAAAUAAUAAUUUAUGUAAUCUAAGUUAAAAUUAUUUAAGGAUAAUAUUAUCAUAUUUGUAGAGAAUUGAUAAUAUCACUACAUACUAUCUUUAUUUGAAAAUAUAAUAUUAUUAUAUCUAUUUAAUUUUAAUAGUAUUAUAUUUAUUUAGUAUUAAUAGUUAAUAGCAAUAGCAAUAGAUAGUUUAUUCCAACAAAAUAUUAAUAUUAUAUUAUAUUAUUAAUAAUAAUGUUUCAUUUGUGUUGCUCUUAUCAAUAAUUUUUAAUUUACAUAACUAAAAUUAAAAUUAAUAAAAAAAUUAUAAUUUAUAUAAUUAAGAAUAUUAAUAAUAUUUAUUUAUUUAUAUAAUUAAACUUAAUAAUAAAAUAAAUAGUUUAUUUUUAAAUAUAUUUUUUAUUCACUUUGUAAUUAAAAACUACAAUUCUUUAAAUAAGGAUAAAACUGUAAUUUGAAGUAAUUUACUUUCAAUUCAAGACAAUAUAAACACAUAAAUGAGAUUCUGAUUCCUAUUCCACACUCUUAUUAAGUAAACAAUUUACUCUCACGCUUGCUCCACAUUCAUAAUCCUAAGAUUCCUAAUCCAAUCCGAGAAGUAAAUGCUAUUUAUAUUAUAUCUCAUAAUAUAUUAAAAUUUGUGUUUUUCUAUAUUUUAACUUGUCCCUUAUUAUAUUAAAGUAAGAAAUCCUUUAUUAUAUUAAAGUAAGUCUAUAGGUGCUAUGGAACCUGUAGACUUCUGUAGAAUUACUGAAUUUCUAAAUAAAGUAUGAUAAUAUUAUGAGUUUUACGUAUAAAAUCUUCAUUUACCCCUGGACAUUCUCUCACGAUUUUUUUUUUUUUUUGAAAAGAAAAUGCCUUCAUUUCAUAGAAGAAAAUAAAUACAGCAAAUGAGGAGGGAAUGAACCCAUCCACACAAUGGUUUCAAGUCUCUCUAAAGCUAGUAGACAUUCUCUCAUGAUUUUUAAACUUUGGAGACAAAUUUCAUUUAAGUCAUAUGAUCCCACAAACAUUUAGUUUGAUAAUAACUUGUAGCUUUACAAUUAUUAAUUUAUUAUUAACAAAUUCUUAAUGAACAAGUGGGUCUAAUUUUUUGCUGAUGUCUUGUAAAUUUUGUCUUAUUUGAAUUUAUAUUAUUUUUUUCUAGUAGGAAAAAAAAACUUUUACACUAUAAAAACAAAUCUGUACGCAUUACAGCCUACACCAAUUGGGGAAAAAGAAAACAUAUAAUCACUUUUUGAAAUAUAGGGUAAAUUUACUCUAAUUUUUUUUUCUUAAUUAUUGGCAUAGUCAGAUUAAAUAAAGUGAUCUAUUGAGCAUAAAAUAGUUUUCAACUGAUAACAAAUUAUUUUUAUCAAUUUUAAUUUAAUCUAUUGUUGUUAUCAUAUACAAAUUUCACACACUUUUGAAAAAACGAAUUCGUUUAAAGAAGAUUGAAAUGACAGGUUUAUGUGUCUGUCUGUUAGAUUCCAUAUUUUGUCCGGAAAAGGACAAAAACAAAAAGAAAAUCCCCAAAAUCUACGUAACCUAACCAUUAAGCAAACUUGCUUUUUGGAAAUUUAAAUUUAAUCUCUCGCAAGUCGCAACCACCAAUUGCCGACACUUCCAAACUCCAAACUCCAAACUCUUACCUAAAUCCAUUGUAUGUCUCUUGCUGCCACUUGCCAUUAUUACACAAAAUUAAAAUUUAGAAUCAGUUGUUAGCGCAAAUUAAUAACAUUAUCUUUUUAAUUCAAUUUAGACCUUGUGGCCAAUCUAGGCAUUAAAUAUAUGUUAGCUGCUAGCUAGCCCCCACAACCCUAUAUAAGUUGCUUGCUUAGCUUUGGAGCUAUACUUACGGGGAUUGCUUAAACUUUCAAAAGCUUACGCUGAUCGUGGGGCCCUUUGUUUAUGGAAAUUGCAAUCAACGGUAGCUCGAUGAAAUCAUUUCAUCAAACGACUAAUGUUAUUGUGAUUGUCAGGCAUCUCAAACCGACACGUACCACACCGUGUAGUUCUCUUUUUUGACAUUGAGACGCGAAAGUUGUUGUGGAUGAAUGAAUACUUGAUCCGUGGCGCACUACGCCUUGGGACACGCGUACGGUCGCCAUGUGAGGGGUGCGUGGCCCAUGAUUGUAGAUCAAGGAACGAUGUGCUGCACUUGCAUGGAGAGGGUGCUUAUCACUUUUGCUUUUAGAAAGUAGCUCAAUAAAGAUUUAGGGCAUAAAAUAUCUGCUAAUUAACCAUGUUAACACUCACCUUGAAAUGUGUUAUGCAUUAUUGAAAGACAACAAUAACAAUUUGUAGGACUCUAAAACUGCUCUUGUGAUGUUGUUAACUUUUAUAAAAUAAAAAAAGUUAUAAAAUAAAUUGAAUGAAAUAGGGAUUUUGCUAUGUUACAUUGAAUGUACCAUACACAACCAAUAAGAACCACACAAUUAUAUGGGUCCCACAAUUUAUGUGGUUCUUAUUGGUUGUGUAUGGUACAUUCAAUGUAACAUAGAGGCUCCCAUGAAAUAGAAUGUGAUUAGGAGUUUGUAAGGGAGGAUUCAAGUGAAGCAUUAUUAAAACUAAUGAUCUCUGUGACUCUUGAGUGAUUAAAAAGAAAGGGGAGGGAGGGGUGGUGAUGGGCUAAACGCCAGCCAGCACGUGCAAAUGCAAUGGAAGAUUGGAGAGUCAGCAAUCAUAAAUGAGAAGCAACACUUUCUACAUAACGACAAUCUUGAUGAUAACAUGCAAUUCAACGUCCGAUACGACUUGUCGCCAGAUGAUUGGUUGUAAGCGUACGGGAAUUCAAACUCUUACGUUUUCCUCCUUGAUACAUAUCACACAUAUAUAUAUAUAUAUAUAAGCUUCAAAUUGGCUUCAUUUAUAAGACCCUUUUCAUACAUAGCUCCCACAUUCUCCAAAUAAUAUAAUCAGUAUCUCAUUUUCUGAGCCUCGGAUCGCAGCAGCACUCGCAUCGCAGCUGUAUAUGGGGGAGAAGGUUUGUAAAUUGGCCUUUUGGUUAAAUUUUUUAUGUGCAUCUCAUGAUGAUUGAGAGAGAGAGAGAGAGAGAGAGAGAGAAAGAGAGAGUUGCUUCUGUUGUUGAUUAAUUCUUUAAUUUCAGAAAUUAACCAUUAAAAUAUUUCCCACUCCCUGGCCUGUAAUUACUAAAUAUCAGUGAUGGCUACAAAUCAUUCAUUAAUCAACUAUCUCUGUAAUGUUUACAGAAGGUUACGACGAUGGUGCUGAAGGUUGACCUUCAGUGCUCAAAGUGCUACAAGAAAGUCAAGAAAGUACUUUGCAAAUUCCCUCGUAAGUGUCUCUAUCUCCGAUCACUUUAAUAAUUAAUUAGUCGUGGGAUUGUGUUUUUUGUAUUUGUCAAUAAAAGUGGUUUAUUAUGGAUCAGUGAGCUAAGAUAUAUAUAUAUAUAUGUUGAAAACUUUAUGAACAAGAGAAAUACAAGACCAGAUAUUCGAUGAGAAGACGAAUACGGUGAGAAUAAAAGUAGUGUGCUGCAGUCCUGAAAAGAUUAGGGACAAACUAUGCUGCAAAGGUGAAGGUUCAAUCAAGAGUAUUGCAAUCCUGGAACCUGAAAAGCCUAAACCACCACCACCAAAACCCAAAGAACCCGAGAAGCCAAAAGCACCUGAGAAACCCAAAGAACCCGAGAAGCCAAAACAACCUGAAAAACCCAAAGAACCCGAGAAGCCAAAACAACCUGAGAAACCCAAAGAGCCGGAGAAACCCAAAGAGCCCGAGAAACCUAAAGAGCCCGAGAAACCUAAAGAGCCUGCGAAACCCAAAGAGCCAGAAAAGCCUAAAGAGCCACCAAAACCAUCACCACCGGCACCUGCACCGGCACCGGCACCGGCACCUGCACCAGCACCGGCUCCAGUUCCGUGUCACCCGCCGGUCGGGGUGUGCUGCAGGGAAUGUUAUGAGGGGCGCGGUGGGGGACCAUGUUACGAUCUUGGCUAUGGGCAAACGAGGCAUUAUGAUGGGUACUGUGGAAGGCCAGUGUAUGAGGGUUGGGCUGGCGGCUGCGAUACUAGAGGUUAUUACAGAAGUCGUUGCUCAGAUUACAUCUGUGAAGAAAAUCCAACAGCGCCUUGCACCAUCAUGUAAAUUCAUAUUACAUAUACAAAUCCAAUCCAUGCUACUGCCUACCGCCACCCACCAAUGAUCGUGAAUGGUGAUUGUCGGUGAUCAUGUCCUUUUCUUCUAGUUGCCUCUUGUAUGUUGUUGAUUUAAUCAUUUACUUUUUUUUUAUGAUGAUAAUAAAUAACAAUAAUGAUAUAGACUUUAUAGGAAGGAAAAUAAUAGCUAAAUAAAAGCAAGAUUGGUGGAUCCGUUGAUCAAUUUGUUGAUGCUACAAUUAAUUUAAUAAGAGGUUUCCAUUAAUAUUGAUUGCCUUUUCAAUUAAUUAUGCAUUUCCGAUUCCUAACCUUGUCCUUCACUUUCUGAUCGUGCACAUACGUAUGCCCUUUCUUAUUAUUUUAGUGAUGUCCUCCUGUUAAAGAUAUAUGUAGUCCGCUAGAGUCGCAGUCUUCUAGUUUUAUUUAAUGCUUUAUAAAAGGUGAGUAGUGCUUUUCGUUUUCGAAUGAAAUUUUGGAGACCAUAGAUUUUUAAAAUGCCUCUUUUUUUUUUUACUUCUCUCAAGUCCUUGACUCAAUUUCACCGUCUAGAAACGCCAAUGACAAAGGCACUCAAUUCACUCAAAUUUAAUUGAGCUGUCUUUUUAAAUUUAUCUUUUAAGAUAAGAGUCAAUGAUUUAAGCUAGUCAAGGUUAUUGCAAAUGAUUAAUGAGAAUGUUACUGAGAGCGGGGACAACGAGUUUACGGAAGAGCAAAUGCGAUAAACAAUGCGAAACCUCCAAGUUUUAUGGUCAUAAAUCUAUCGUAAGUAAAUCAGUAGAUUUUUUACAUGAAAAAAAAAACAAUUAAUAAAGAUAUAUAAGGAUGUAACUGUCCUUUUAUGAUUGUGUAAAUAUUUUUAACUAACUUAGAAUUCAAUGAAGGAUUUGAAUGGAACAAAUUGGGAAUUUGAAAUGGUUAAUUGUUAAGUGAUGCAUUUUAAAAUCGUAAUUUCAAUCUUUGAGUUUCUUUUCAAAAAGAAAAAUACAAGUAAGUAAAUUGAAGGAAACAAAAGGAGAUCAUUUCGAGCACGCUUCUAUGACAAGAAAAGGAAACAUUACACAAGUAGAAGAAACGCAACGUGGGGUAUUGUAGUUUGGUCCUAGCUUGUUUGGUGACGGAUUAGGCUUGAUUGGUACUGGUCGAGCUUCAAAAUAUGCCAUAGAUAGAGAGGCUACAGUCGUUAUUUAUCUGAAAAUUAAUUAAAAUGGAUGGAGAAAUUAAGACACCACACAGCCACUAAAAUCAGUAGACAAUAUCCUCCUCCUCUGAUUGAUAUUAGGGCCCCUUUUGAGAUUGCAUUUUAGAGGUUCAAAAAUAAUUUUAAAAAAUUAAUAAUUAAUUUUAUUAUCUAGUAAUUUUUUUAAUUUAUUUUUUGUAAGAUUACUCCAUCUUAAAAGAUAUUUUGAAAAGUAGGGAAGGUGUAACUUUUCAAAAAUUUAAUUUUGAGAAUCGGUUUUAUACUUAAUACAAUUACAUAUAUGUCCUCACAUAUUUUGUAAAAAUCUAAAAUUAUCCUUAUCAAUUGGGAAAUAAAAUCGCUACAUUUAAAGAUAUCAUUAUUAUUACCAAUUAUAUUUAAAUAACAAAUAAAAAUAAAAUUAAUAAUAUUAAAAUAUUCAUUUUAAUUAAAUUAAAGUAUAUAGAUGAUAAAAAAUAAUUUAUUUAUAUAUUUAUAAAUGUGUAAGCAAAUUUUAUUUAUCAUUACAUCCAUUUCAGUUAUUUGUAUUUUUACAACAGUUUAACAAUAAAUUUACCAAACACUUAUGACUGUUUUUGAAGCACACGAAAUUUUUUUAAAUAAAUUUACCAAAUAUUUAACAGACUCUCUUCACAAUUAUUUAUUACUACAGCAUAGUUAACAACGAUGAUUUUAAAAACUAUAAUAUUACCAAACUGACUGUAAGUGUUAAAUUUUCACUUGUUAUUGGCAUGCAUGGACCUGGACCCUCUCUAUAUGUAUAUACAUCUUAUAUAUGCUAGUUGCUACUUUUGUUAUAGUUAAUGUAUUUGACUAAGUAAACUAUAUAUUAAAAGGAAAAUGAAGGUGGAGAUGAAGGCAGAUGCAUGCCUGGAUGGAAAGGAAUCAUACGUAUAUACAAAUUCUAAAUUCCUUUAUUAUUAAUUAUUAAGCUGCUGCUUUGUUGGUCGGUACCCCAUCUAAAUCCAAUUGAAUUCAGUACACACACAUGGUCAUGCAUGCAUUUCCAGUUCAAAUCCAUGUGCUAAUUUAAGUAGAAGAUUGUUCAAUUAUUUUAAUGAACUCCCUUUUGGUGAUUUUAAUAUUUGAGCAAUCCAUUGAGGAGGUUUUACUCCUUUUAUGGUUUAAUUGCUACUAUAUAUAUAUAUAUAUAUAUUUUUAUUUUUUUUUUGCUAACUUUCGAAUACAAUAAAAUCAUUGGCGAUGUGGUUUAAUGGCAACGAGGCCCCUUUUAAUACAAAAAUUCGUGACGUGUUUAACUGGAUCGGGCCUCUGGGAAUCUAGCCCAAAUGAAUUAGAUUCAUUAAUUUCUUUCUUUCCUAUUUUGUGGGGUGGGAUAUGGCGGGAAAAUAUAUUAGUAAAUCCAAACAAUAAUACUAAAUGGGGAAAAUUUGUGGUGCAACUGUGGUACCGUGUCACAUUCACAUCCAGCUGUUGGAUUCUAAUGGACUCCACUCAUCUAAGUAUAUCCAACGGCUGGAUGCAGCUGUGGCACAGUACCACAGUUGCACCAUAGCCGGACCCUACUAAAUGCAGCUAAAUUAUCUCAAUAUUUCAUUCCAAUUGCUAAGUGAUGAAUAUCAUUAUCUGUGUUCGGGUUGAUUUUUGGACCUAUAAAUAAAGGACAUAUAGAUGAUUAUAUUAUUUAGACACAAUAUUUAGAGCAAUAUAAGGAUGUCACAAGAAAGAAUUUAUUCCAUUUGAUGAGCUUUAAAAUUUAGAGUAAUAAUAUAGCCAUAAAUUUUUGUACAAAUUUAUUUUGUACAAACUGAUAUGGUAUAAUAAAAUUGAUUGAAUUAAAUAUUUCUUGGCCCACAUGAUCUAUUUUUAUUAUUUUGUAUUUUUAUUCAACCAAUGAAUUAAUGUCAAAUCAGUUUGUAAAGAGAUAAGUUUGUACAAGAAUUUAUGGUUGUAUCAUUGAGAUAAGACUUUUAAAACAUAUUUUUGGAAAGAAUAGUACAAAAAAAAUAAUUUUCUACCUUUUCUUAAAUGCGACAUAUAACUUAAAGAUAUUCUCCCUUUUUUUUUUAACCUAAGCAUGCCAUUUAACUCUAAAAAUUUAUCCACUCUCUUUACCACUAGCCUCUGCCAUAUAAAUGCCAUAUUUUUCAAAAUGGAGAGUGUCCUUUAUGUUUGGGGCUCCUUUACCUCCUUCUUCGAUCAUCAUCCACUUUUUUGUUUUUUGGAGGCUAUUUCUACCAUUUUCUAUUCUUCAUUUUUAUCAUCUCUUCCACCGUAUUGUUAUCACUCUAGCUCUACAUCUUCAUUCACUAUCUCUAUCUUUAACAACGCCCACAUCUCCAUACAAACAUCCAACUCAUUUUAUGUAUAUCUGCUAAUCUCACGUGAAUGUAAGCCAAAAGAUGAACCAUAUAGUGUAUGUGUGCUCUUUAAAUUUGUGUUUGUUUUACUAUAUCUACAAUUUGAAGUUCAAAUCAUAUUUCAAAUGUAAGCCACAUGAAGUACUUUAGUUUUCCUUGUGAUCUCUUUUGAGCUCCACUUAACUCACUUGAGUUAUCCAACUCUCCAUAUUGCUUAACCUAUCAAUGGCUUACCUUGUUGUUCCUCCACUAAAUAAAACAAAUCUUCAUAUUGCUUAACCUAUCAAUUUAUGGAGGUGAAUGUGGCUGAUUCAGGGGCUGCCGUGACUGGAGAAAGACGCCAGCGAGGAGAGGAGACUCCAGCGGUGGUAGAACACAACUGGCUGCCCGUGCAGCCAUGGGCGGCUGAUCAAAGUUUACAUUCGGAUCCGGUAUAGAAUUUCCAUUUGGGUCUAGAAUCGGAAAAGUCGAACCUAGACCCGAACCGGAACUCGAAUUUUGCCAUCCCUAUUCUAAAGAAGGAUUCAAAAAAAUUAAAAUAACCUGCAUUGAGUUCGAAUUAAUUCCAACCACAAAUUCUUCAAAACCUUCUGACAGCGUGAUCAACUGCCAAAAGUUAUGCAUAGAAGGCUAUUUGUUGCCCUGCCCCUAAAAAUGGUCAAAAUUUCCAAGUUAGGAGCCUUCAUAGCAGCGAAAAAUAGUCCUGAACGCCGAGGGACCAGGAUUAAUUUUCCUUAAAAAAGACCAUCCGCAUUGACAUUCAUCCAGUCUACAUGAGGGCGAAAAUACGUACUUAAUGCACGCAUUGUGUUAUUCUUUGAUCAUCGUGCACAUCCUCCACAUAAAACUAAUUAAAAGUAGUGUAUAAGAAAACUAUCUUAUACUAAUGAUUGGGUAAGAUUUCCACACAUCUGAUGCUCGAUCACAAGAAGGCAGGAUACUAAUGGUGAAGAUAAAUUAUAAUUUGGAUUAUUUGAAUAUUUAACAUAGAUAGCCAAUCAGGGAAAAGAAAAAAAAAAAAAAAGAAGAUAGAUGGAGAUCAAGACAGAUGGUUAAGUAGACAAAAUUAAAUAAUCAACUCUACAAAUGUGAUAACUUGCUUAUCAUUAUGACUUGUUCAACAAAUUUAAAGAAGUCUCUAUCUGUGGCAUUAUUUAUCUGGAGCUCUUCGAGAAGGUUUCAAUCGAUCCUUAACUUUUUAUUAAUUUGUGGCAUUAUUUAUUAAAUAUUUAGGUUAUAACGAUAAUGAUGUCGACUUCUUUCUUUUUUUCAAAAAACUAAAUUUAAAGAUAGGAAAAAAAAAUCGUAAAAGCUUGUUAAAAUCUGAAAGGAUGCGAGUAAAAUGAACUCUUUCUGAAGAAUUUAUAAGUGCGGCAUUAUUAAAGGUUGGAAAUUAUAUAGUUAAUUAGAAUAUUCGGAGGAGGACGACGACUGAACUGUGAUUGACUCACUAAUGAGAGAUUGAUUAAAAAUAAAAUUUAAUGUACAAAAAGGGAAAAAAAAAAAAAGAAAGAAAAGAAAAGAAAACUGACAUUAAACGAUAAUAUAUUAAGAAAGAAAAGAAAAGAAAACUGACAUUAAAUGUACAAAAAGGGAAAAAAAAAAAAAGAAAGAAAAGAAAAGAAAACUGACAUUAAACGAUAAUAUAUUAAAGGAGUAGUAGUGUUCUAAAUUUUAACAGCUGUAAUCAGAAGAAAUCUGCGAUAUGAUGCAUGUUCCAGUGGACAAAAUGAACUUGUAUCCAGAGAAAUAUGAACAUAUGUUUACCUAAUAUUCUACCUACGUGUCUGACGACCCCAAAUUUGUUUGCUUUGACAACUAAUACUGUACGUGUAUGCGAAUGUGAGCGUGACGUCUUCUUAAGAUGUAUAUAGUUUUCGGCCAUUUCAUUCAGUAAUAUAACGUCAAACGAUUAAUCAUCAGUAGCCGAGUAUUCAGAUCGGAUCACAAGACCAUGCCUGACAAGGUUUGCAAAUCUUUUUACUCAUCUUUUACUUUGCUAGAUCUGCUCUUUCUUCAUUCCCCAAUCCCCAUUUUGUUCAAUUUCAUUUCUCUAGCUACGACGAUCACUUUAGUUUCCUGUGAUGAAUCACAUAAAUACAAAAUGUUAAUGAUUGUGUGUGUGUGUGUGUAUCACACAUGCUGUUUACUUUGUGGCAGCUGCAGGUUACAACAAUGGUGCUGAAGGUUGACCUUCAGUGCUCAAAGUGCUAUAAGAAAGUCAAGAAAGUACUUUCCAAAUUCCCACGUAAGUAAUUUAAUUGAAUUUCUCUGCUAUGUCUACACAUAUAUAUUUUGUGAAAAUGAAAAAUUAAUGUUAUUGAUGAUCAGUGGGCUAAGGGUCGUAUGUAUGUAUGUAUGUUGUGUUGAAUUUUGUGAACAAGAGAAAUACAAGACCAGAUAUACGAUGAGAAGCAAAACAAAGUGACAAUCAAAGUCGUUUGCUGCUGUCCCGAAAAGAUGAGGGACAAGAUAUGCUGCAAGGGUGAUGGCGUAAUCAAGAGCAUUGAAAUCAAAUCACCUGAUGAUCAGAAGAAGAAGAAGGAGGAGCCUGCUGAUAAGAAAGAGCCCGAAAAGAAGAAAGAAACACCUCAGACUGAGAAGAAAAAAGAAAAAGCAGAAGAGUCGAAACCUAAAAAUAAGGAGCCUGCGCCUGAGAAAGGAAAAGAAAAAGAUCAGCCAGAGAAAAAGAAAGAACCUAAAGAUACACCUAAGCCUAAGGUUGACCCACAGCCUAAGGUUGACCCACCAGCACCGGGUUACCCACCCCCUUAUUACCCAUUUGGGGUGUGCUGCCCCGAGUGUUAUGGGGGGCACGGUGGGGGGCCAUGUCACCGUUACGGACCGCCACCGAAAAUAUGGUACGAUGGUUAUUAUGGAAGGCCAGUUUAUGAUAGUUGGGGCGGCAGCAGCAAGUAUUACGGAUACCGUUCUGAUUGCCUCUCUGAAGAAAAUCCUUCAGCUUGCGCAAUCAUAUGAAUCAUAUUAAUUACUACUGGAUUAUAUUAUAUUCGUCCUUGUCAUGUAUUUUUGUUAUUAUUAUUCAUAGUCUAAUAUUUUCUUGCGUUUUCUUGAUUGUGAUCGAGUAAUGGUCAUCUAAUUUGUGGUUCCCCCCACGCCCCCCCGCCCUCUCUAUAUAUAUAUAUAUGAAAUGUUCAAUUUAUAACUCGUAAGGGGUUUUUACACAAAUCUUUUAAUUUUUCCUUCCCUUCUUUGGAUACCAAACAAUGGGAAGAAAGAGAGAGAGAGAGAGACGACGGAGAUAUGAGAAUUAAAAAUCAAACUUUAGUGAAUGUACAAAAAACUGAAAGUCACGGGGGCUAAGGGUAAUUGGUUGAUACAACAGUGAUGACAGCAUGCAUUUAUGGUUGAUGGGUAAGAUUUCCACAUCAUUGUGGUCCUCACUUUUAAUGCUGAAAAUAAAAUUUAAUGGCAUACACGGUCCAUUGUGGAACAAGUCGAAUUAGAGGUAGAUCUAUAAAUUAAUGGACAUCAAGGCAAAAUUAAAAGGAAUCGAUAUAGACUCUUUCAAUUUAAUUAUUCAAAUAUUUAUUUAUUUAUCACAUAAAUAAAAGACUAAAGUGUUUGGUAAAUAUUAAUUACUGUAACUUAAAAAUUAUGUUAAUAUAAUUUUUCACUCAUAUGAUAAAAAAUUUAUUAUAUUUUUAAUAAUUUUGUCAAAAUUAUUACUUAAAAUUUAUAUUUACUACAUAUAAUUAACUUUUGUUUUAUGGUUACAACUUUUUUUCUACUCCAGCUGUAAUUUAAAAGAUACAACACUUCAAUCUUAAAUGUGACCUAAAAAAAUUAAUCAUCUUCCAAAAGACUUUUUAAAUAAAAUUAAGUUCAUAUUAUUUUAAUCAAUUUUUUUCUUGACUAAAAUAAUAACAAUUAUAAACAUCACUCCAUUCAAGAAUGAGAAAAUAAAACUAAUAUAAUAUUAAAUUGAAGGUUCUAAGAGAUUCUCUAAAUGGGAUUCUCUAAAUAAGAUUGUCCCUCUUUUUAUAUUAUAGAAAGAGAACGGUAAUCUUAUUUGAAAAGUCUUUUAAAAUAAUUUUUACUUAUGUGGUUUUUCAAAUUAUAAGUAAAAUUUCAUUUAAAUAGUCUUGUAAUGGUGCUCUAAUAAUGCUAGCCACUUCCUGUUAUCAGUAGAGUUGAUGCAUGCAAGUGCUUCUGGUUGGUUAUUAUUGGUUAAUAAUGCCUAGGCUAUUACCUGGCUCAUACUCUCUCAUGUCCAUGUGCAUCAUCACUAUUCACCAACACAUUGGUAACAUUUUUUUGUUAAUGAAGAGAUUCACUAAGCCAUUGAAAUUUUAUCUAAGGACAUGUUUGGCAUUGAGGUUGGGUAACUAUAGACUUUAAGUUACAGUACUAAAAUAUUAGGUAAAUACUAAUUAGUGUAACUUGAAAGAUAAAUUGAUUUAUGAAAAACUUAUAAUAUGUUUAUUAUUUUUUAAAAAAUAUUAUUUAAAAGUUAUAUUUAUUAUACAUUAUCUAUUUUUAUUUAAAAAUUUUUUUUUUUACAACUAUUAUAAUUUAAAAAUUAUAGUAUCUCAAUAUCAAAUAGGGCCUCAAUUGAGGCUUGAGAUAUAAUUCAGAAUCUAAAUUUUAGAUACGCAAUACCUCGACUGAGGAUUGGGGUCCUUUUGCUCAAUCUAUUGAGCCGCAAGCUACUUAGCCCAAUUUUUCUGUUUGGGCUCAUGAUGUAAGCCCAACCUACAUAGUUUGCUCAAAUAACCAUUUUCCCCCUUUUUUUUCUGUACUCUUCAAUUUCUCUCCCAUUGUUGAUAAGGGUGGUCCCGUUGUUUGUGCCGCGAGAGAGAGAGAGAGAGACGCAGAGACUCUUCUACUGCAGUUUAUCGCGUGGGUGCGUGCGUGUAAUAUAACAUAACUCAGCCUGAGGUGAGUGUUGAACAAUGGCUUCCAAUCUCUGCUACUCAACGUGUUCUCUCUUUUCAACACCAAAGCUUGGAAGAAGAACCUUCACUUUCUCUUUUCAACGCGACGACUCCCUCUCAUUUUACUCCAAAACCUCUCUCCAAAAACGCAGCGUUUCGUUGCAAGAAACCCAGAGCUCAAACCCUACAAAGCAUUCGCAAAAUCCUCAAUACCCGCACGGAAAAACUGGUUCUUCUCCUAAAAGCUACAUCUGGGUCAAUCCCAAAAGUCCAAGAGCUUCCAAGUUGAAGGAAAAAUCUUAUGAUACGAGGUACAAUUCUCUUGUUAAACUUGCCGCAGAUUUGGAUUCUUGUAGUGCGACUGAAGAUGAUGUUUUUAGUGUUUUGCGUUGCUUGGGUGAUGAUUUCUUAGAGCAAGAUUGUGUCAUUAUUCUUAAUAACAUGACCAACCCAGAUACUGCAGCGCUUGCUUUGACAUAUUUUACAAAUAAAUUGAAAGCUAGUAAAGAAGUGAUUCUUUACAACGUGACUAUGAAAGUGUUUAGAAAGUGUAGAGAUUUGGAUAAAGCCGAGAGGUUGUUUGAUGACAUGCUUGACCGAGGUGUUAAGCCAGAUAAUGUUACCUUUUCGACUUUGAUUAGUUGUGCUAGGAUGAAUAAUUUGCCUAACAAGGCUGUUGAGUGGUUUGAGAGGAUGCCUAGUUUUGGAUGUGAUCCUGAUGCACUUACUUAUUCGUCUAUGAUUGAUGCAUAUGGUAGGGCUGGUAAUGUGGAAAUGGCUUUUGGUUUGUAUGAUAGGGCAAGGAAUGAGAAAUGGCGUAUUGAUUCUAAUGCUUUUUCUACUUUGAUUAAGCUAUAUGGGACAGCGGGUAAUUUUGAUGGGUGCUUGAAUGUUUAUGAAGAAAUGAAAGCGAUUGGUGUUAAGCCGAAUAUGAUUACAUAUAACAAUUUGUUGGACACAAUGGGAAGAGCGAAGAGGCCUUGGCAGGUGAAGACUAUUUACAAAGAGAUGACCGACAAUGGACUUUCCCCAAAUUGGAACACCUAUGCAUCUCUGUUGCGGGCUUAUGGGAGGGCCAGAUAUGGGGAGGACACUCUUUCUGUUUACAGGGAGAUGAAGGAGAAGGGAAUGCAGUUGAGUGUGACUCUGUAUAAUACACUCUUGGCCAUGUGUGCUGACGUAGGGUACACUGAUGAAGCUUUUGAGAUAUUUGAAGACAUGAAGAGUUCUGAAAAUUGCCAGCCUGACAGUUGGACAUUUUCUUCCAUGAUUACCAUAUGUUCAUGCAGGGGGAAGGUCUCUGAGGCAGAGGCCAUGUUCAAUGAGAUGUUGGAAGCGGGCUUUGAGCCUAAUCUCUUUGUUCUGACAUCACUUAUCCAAUGCUAUGGAAAGGCCCAGCGCACUGAUGAUGUUGUGAGGGCACUCAACAGACUGCCAGAGUUGGGCAUAACUCCUGACGAUCGGUUCUGCGGCUGUCUUCUGAAUGUGAUGACUCAAACCCCGAAGGAGGAGCUUGGUAAGCUUGUUGAAUGUGUUGAAAAGUCCAAUUCAAAGCUGGGGUAUGUGGUGAAGCUUCUAUUGGAGGAGCAAGACAUUGAAGGGGAUUUCAAAAAGGAAGCAACUGAACUCUUUAAUUCAAUUAGCAAAGACGUCAAAAAGGCUUACUGCAAUUGCUUAAUUGAUCUCUGUGUCAAUCUUAAUCUGUUGGAAAAUGCAUGUAAGCUUUUAGAACUGGGGCUUACACUGGAGGUUUACACAGAUAUACAAUCCAGGUCUCCAACUCAGUGGUCUUUACAUCUGAAGAGCCUCUCGCUUGGAGCAGCACUGACUGCAUUACACAUUUGGAUAAAUGACCUGUCGAAAGCGCUGGAAUCUGGAGAAGAGUUUCCGCCAUUACUUGGUAUCAAUACUGGGCACGGGAAACACAAGUACUCAGACAAAGGAUUAGCUAGUGUUUUCGAGUCACAUUUGAAGGAAUUAAAUGCCCCUUUUCAUGAUUCCCCAGACAAGGUUGGCUGGUUUUUGACUACAGAGGCUGCAGCCAAGUCAUGGUUGGAGUCUAGAAGCUCACUGGUCUCAGUUCCUGCCAAGGUGACUGCCUCGUAAGUGUCUGGCAUUCCUGAAUCAGGUUGUAUGCUUAGCAAUGAUGUGCUCACCAUCUCAAACUCCCCUUUUUUUAUGUUCUGGGCUAUAUGUCUCUUGACGGAGGAAGAAUUUUUGUUCUAUUAGACCAUAACUUUUGUUUAUACUUUGAAUUUUUAUAUAUAGAGCUAAUGAAAUUAUGGAAAUGUAAAUUUCGUACUUGCUACUGGAUUUGGGAAGUUGUAUUGAAAAUAAUCAGUCAGUGCUAACUGCUAUCGGUAGGAAGCUUGCUGGUGCUGACUGUGAAAACAUUAUUGAUUUGCACUACAAACGGCCAUUGAGCCAAACACAUCACCACCCAAGCUCUCAAAUUAUUAGCAUUUGUUUAUUAAAAGAAAAAAGAAAAUUAAAAACAUGAAAUAAUUGAAGAAAACAAAAUGCAAAAACUUUUGAUUCUUUGGUAGCCUAUAAAAACCGGACAGAAAUUUGACUUCCAAAUUAUUAAAUACUUCUGAAAGGGCACGGAUAUUUGACCUUGUGGAAAUAAACAAUGUUAUGAUAUGUUCCACAUCUUCUAUUCUUCUUAGUUAAUGCAAACUUGUAUCACGCCCCUUAUUGACUUGCUUAUUCAGAGCCCACUAAAAAAUGUUAAUUAGCAAACCGAAGUAUGUACUUGCCAUUUCUUUAGAAUAAAAUUCGUCACUAGUUUAUACUUUAUAAUGAAGCAUCAUGGUUUGCACUUUGCACGUUAGGUUGCCGUCAACGUGAAAACAAAUUAAAAGCAUCAAUAUAAAUUGCUAAGAGUACAAACUCAAAUGAUGAGUGCACAAUGGGAAAGUUGGUGCCUGUUCUGUCCUGCAUUUCGCACAAGAAAGUUAGGAUUAUUCCUUUGAAUGGCAAAGAAAAAGAUUUACAAAAGCAUAGUGACAAGGCGUACUCUUCAUUGCCUCAAGGUACCAAGCUUGAGGCAAGGGAGGCUAAAAAGGAGAGAGUGAAGAUUGUGAUCACAUGGCAGCAAUUGGAGUUACUGCUGACAAGUGCAAACAAGUUCCAGUCUGGAAAAGUUUCUGUUCGAUUCUCUGAGAAUUUAAUGAAACAGUGUCGGAAAUGGCAUCCAUCUUUAGCUUCCAUUCCGGAGGUGCCAAAUCUUUGAUCAGCUUUUCCUCAUCACAAUGCCGUUGAUGAAUUUACUGUAUAGUUCACUAGAUUGUAGAAAGUAGCUGCUCAAGAGCAGGAGGGUGUUUUUUUUUUCUUUAAAUCGGGUGUCAUUGCUUCGAUCUAUUUCCUCCAUUAUAGCAAUUUUUUAGCUGUAAUUGCGGAUUAUUUUUUGGUUAUAAUAAUUCCGAGAGUGUCUCUAGUGUUUCUCUUUAUAUUUAGGAAAACUAAUGCUCGUAUUGUUUAAAUCUUAAGAAGUAAAUGCCAUGAAAUCAGUGGAUUCAGCAUAACGUAUACGCAAUUACUCCGGGGCCUAGUUUGAUCAGCCACGAUGGAAAAUUCCUUCUCAGAAAAAAAUGUUUCUGAACUCAAAUCCUUUGGUCUGUUUAUGACAAACAAUUCAUAUUUCACUCAUCUGGUAGUUUUAGAUAUUGAUUGGAGAACUGGUGAGUGUAACUUGAGCAUCUAAACAAACAGUCGACAGAAAUCAUAUUGCAUACACAAGCAUUUGAAAACACAAUUCAACACACUCCAAUGAAAUCACAUUGUCAGCUUCUCGCUCUCUCACAAUCUUCUUUUAGUCAUAACUUAUUCAACUAUUUGCAAAAUAAUCCUUAUUUACAGUGAAAAAUCAGCAGAAAUGAAUUAAACGAAUUCCUGAGGCAUGCAACUUUCCAAAGGAAGCUUCAAGGUGCUUUGUUUACCCUGCUGCAAUUUAGACCAUCCAGAAUGUUAGGGAAAGCAACAGAGAACAAAAGAAAUUUAAAAAAAAUAAAAAUUAAUGGAUGUUUCACCAACCUUCUUGAAGAGCUUGUGCUUCUGAUUUUUCUGGUGUCAUCCAGUUUCGCAGAUAUAGCUUCCUUUUCUCUAGCCGCUGCUUCUCUCUUAAUUUUCUUGGACUCAGCUUCAAUGGCUUUUGUCAAUGCAUCAACCUUCCUUAUGAGCAUCUGAAAUGAAAGGAAGGUUAGACAAUUAAUACCUCAUGCUUUAACCACAUGGUGAGUAAGAAGAGAUAAUUGAAACAACACUUCAACCUUGAUUUCUUCAUCUUUAGCAUUCAAGCAACUGUCUUUAGACUCACAGAACUUCCUCAAAAGUAUGACUUCCUUUUGUAGUCUGUCAUACAGAAACCCAGAAACCACAUCUUCUUUAACAGGGUUGGGAUUUCCCUUGUUCUGAGAAACUUCAUGUUCAUAGCCACCAACUUUGUUUUUGACUUCUACUGAGACGUUUGUGUCACCAAUUUUAAACUCAUCAAUAUUGUUGUCUUUGUUCUCCUUCACCUGAGUAUUUUCCUUGCCACAACUGCUAUCAACAACCUUAUUUUUCGAUGGCCAUAUGCUUUUCCUCAGCACGUUUUCUCCGGCAGCACAUUUCUUUCUGAAGCUAUCAGCUCGCUUUAGUCCUCCAGUAAAAUUACCAUUGACCGUUGCAUUUUCUGAGUUUGGCUGAUGCAGUAGAGAGUUUCUACUGAUAGUAGAAGCCCUUGGCUGUGAUGUUGAUCUCUUCCUUAGUCCACCGUUGGCUGUUAAGAACCCCAAAAUAAUGUUACUGGAUUUUUCUGUUUUAGGUGACCCGCAAAAUGUAUUAGGACUGCCCGAGAAACUUGACACGUGCUUUAAGCCUUCUUCCAGAGUCUUUAGCCUUAGCUUCAAUUUUUCCUAAAAUUAAUUCACAUCCGCACAGAAAAUUCAACUGACGGUGAAAAUAUUAGGACAAACUAAUUGUAGAUAUAAUAAAGGAAUCGAAUUUAACCUUCAGUUGUGCUUCCGCCUUGGCUGUUCUCUCUGAUAUAGCUAGCUUGUCUUUUAGUCUCUGCAUCUCAGCCUAGACAUAUAGGGAUGUGGUUAGUCAUAGAAGCCCAAGAAACUUUUAGAAUAUCUAAAUGGCAAAAAAUAAAUAAAUGAAUUCGAAACCUGGAUCCAAGAACCUUUUCCGAUAAGGGAAAUACCUGCAGCAAUCUUCUCUCUUCCAGCCAUUGUCUGACGGGCAUUACUUUGUCAUUUUCAUCCUUCCAUUCAUUAGCCACCACGGUUGCUACUCGGUUUGCUGAAACUUUAACUCUGGCAAGCUCCCUCUCCAGGGUCCUUUUCUCCUCCUGAAAAUGUUAAGGUUACAGGAUCAUUGAAUGGACCUUAUCGACAGAACUAAAAAUCACAACACAUAAGUAUGACACCUACAUUUAGCUCAGUAAUUUGUCGCUGAUAGUCACGAAUAGCAUUAGCUGCAGACCCACCUGCGAGAACAGCUUCCUCAAGUUCUUUAAUGGUUCCGCUAAGCUUUUCAACCUCCAAUACCUUUUGGCGAUUGGUUUUCUCAAGGAUUCUGUUCUCUUCCUGCAUAAUCGUAAUGUCAAUUUGGCUAAUAAUUCAAAAGUCUUAGUACAUCAUCAAAUGUGAUGGGUUCAGUCCGGAAAUCAUGCCUGGCAUAUCUCAAUCUGUCUCUUCAACUCAAAGUUUAGGUUUUGAACCUCCUCAACUAUCAAAGCUCUUUCCAGAGCACUUCGCAGGAUCUUCUCUGCCUCUAGUAGAGCCAUCUCUUUUGCCUUAGUGUGACGUUGCAAAGCCUUCUUGUCCUCUUGAAGAGCAGCAAUCUCUUUUUUAUAUGUUUUGAUAUCCGCCUCCAGGGGAGCAAGGACAGACUCAAUAGGAACUGAAUCAUCAUCUUUAAGAUUUGCAUGCACCCUUCUAAGAGUUGCUUCCGCAGCAUAUUGUGCAGCUAAUGCAUCUUUCUUCUCGCCUGUUACUUUCUUUAUUUCAAGAUUCUGCAUUGUAUCAUGUUAGAAAAAUAUAUCCUUAUAAUAAUACUCACAAGUUAAGCCUCGAAAAUAAUGUAAAAUUCCAAAAGGUAUCACUUAGACCUUGACCUACCCUAUGUUCCAGGACGUUUUGGGUGACUCUGAGUUUCCCGUCUAUCUUACCAAACUCAUUUCUGAGCUGUAAAUGCAGAAAAUAAAGAAUCAAUACUAAAUUUACCAUAAACACAAACAUUUUGGCUAAAGUUAAUUAGUAGCCUGUAUAUAUGUGUAUGUAUAUUUAUUUAUUUUCGUGUGACAAUAAUAAUGUAUCUAUGCGAGUAUUGAAUGCGCAUAUAUGGAUAUCAAAUUGAACUACUAAAUUUGCUUGCAUAGAAAUUCUGAGUACCUCUUCUAUAGCCUUAUCUUUCAGAACUUCAGUUGCUCUUAGUGCCUUGAUUUCACCCUGAGCAUCCGCAAGCUCCCUAUCCUUCUCUGGAAUAAUGUAAAAUAAAAAUUAUUGUCAUAAGCCGAGUAAGCACACACCUGGAAUUUGGACAGCUCAAAAACAAAAUAGUCAUAAAAGCAUGAACUAUGAAGAAGAGAAAAACCUUUAAGCUGAUUCUGUAAACGAUUGAGUUCUAAAACAACAGGAUCAGGAUGAGCAAGAGAGAGCUCUUCAACUCCGCCAAGUUUGAGUUCAUCAAAACCAACCAUCUUUUGGCUAUCUUAGUACAAUGCACGAAAAUAUGGCAUGGAGAAGAAGAAGACGCUGGGGUUUAUAAGAGGGUUUUCUGUGAAACAUGGAGAGAGUCCAUUCCUUUAAGGAAUUGACUGCAAAGAGAGGGAGGCUCUUCCCUUACUCUUAAGCAAUAUCGAUAGUUACAUUUCAUGAGAACCGGCCAAGCCGGCUCUUUCAUUUUGACAAUAACGGUUACUUUCUUUUGUGAUCUUGAUAUUGAUUUUAAAACGUUUUAGUUUCUUAACUGCAAUGAUAAGCCUAAAGCACUAUCUAUUGUAAAUUUUUUAAACAAAUAAAUUAUCCUGCUCAACGGUUCUGAUUGCAAAUAUUAAGUGUCAAUUUUUGUAGCACCAUCACCACCUAUUCGUUCACCUAAUCCAGUUGUGCAAAUGCAUUUGGAUUAUUCAACAAACGUACCCGAAAGUGUAUUGGUUGGAUAUAUAUGCCAUUUGUUGGCCUCAAACCUGGCCAACCGAAGCCGGAGAAUCGGAAUUUUGCACAUAAUUUUACAUUCCCAUUAGAUCAAUUGAGGCCCUUUCUCUUUUGUUUGGUGAAUGUGAUAGACAGAAAAGUGGUAGGUGUCAUUUGAUUCUCAUAUGGUUUAUUUAUUUAUACAACUUCGGCCAUAAAAAUAAAAAAAGAAAACAAGUCUAGUGUAAUGAAUGCCUUCAAAGAUUCUUUAUCAAAGAUAGCGUCAAUGAAAGAUAUGUAUAUCUGCUUUUAUUCAAGAUGAAAAGGAAACCCUCUAGAAAUUUUUAUUUCAGACUAACUAAUCAAGUUUUUCUUAAGCGCUAAAUCCUGCAUAAACCAUGCCUUUAAAUUAACUUAGUGGGCGUCACUCGAGCAUGUUUUUGAACCUAAGCAAAUCAAAAUGAGGUGUUGACGACUCUUAAAUGAAAGUGACAAACUAAAGUGGCUUUCAAGAACAAACUUUAAAAUAAAAAUGAAAAAAAGGAAAAAAAAUUCUGCUGAGAAUGCUUGACAUCUUUGCUUUAAAGUAUAUAUGAUGAACGAAUAAAAGAGAAUCACAUGAAGCUAUCCAGCUACUAAGUGCUUGUGCAAGCACUUUUAGCCAUUUGGCAAAUUCUUGAAUAUAAUUAUUUUUAGAGGACAAAUGGAAGUGUCUACUUUCGCUACCUACAACAACAACAACGCCACCACUACCUAAUUGAGCCUCAGAGUAAAGAACUCAUAAGGGCUAUGACCAGACCCAGAUAGCACCAAAAGAGUCAGAGGAGUUUUUGAUUUAAUUAAGCUAGAUUGUAGGGGUUUUAUAUUAUGUUAAUCAUUACUUAAUUGAAUUCUUCACAAUCCACUUUGUUUUGAUGAAGUGAUGUGAUGUGAGUUCAAGCUAAUAUUUGAAAGAAUUGUCUUCAUUGUGUGUUCCGAGUUGGAUUUGGGUAGGUAAGUAUUUGAAAAUAAAGUACUCGAAGUUUCAUACUUAAGGUGCAUUUAAGAUUAAAAUUGGACAGCUAUAGUUUAAAAAAUACAGUAGUAAAGUGUUUGAUAAACACUAAUUGCUACAAGUUGGAUGUUAUGUUGAUAUGAUUUUUCAUUUGUAUGAUAAAAAUUUUAUUAUAUUUUUAAUAAUUUUAUUAAAAUUUAUAUUUACUACAUAUUAUUAAUUUUUGUUUCAUAAUUAUAAUUAUUUUGUCACAACAAUUGUACCUUAAGAGUUAUAUCACCUCAAUCGUAAAUAGUACCUUAAUGCAUUAGGUUAUUUCAGCCACGCCCGGACAUUUUCUGUCGUGCCCUCAAAAUCGUCCCCAAAAUGGUGUUCUGUGUAUAUUGGUUUCAAAUAAACUCUCAGUUAUGGGUUGCUUCCAGGCUGAAGGGCCCAUGUAUGGCUGAGCCUAGUAGUUCUCUAAACUGUUGGGCUCCAGUGGAUCACACAGUCCAACAAAGAACAGUGGGUCCAAUUUUUUAUUUUAUUAAAAGAGAGAGCAUAACUAAAACUUAAAGCACUUCAUAAAAUUCCUGACCACACUUCACUGUAGCAUUAGAAAAUUGAGUAAUGGUAGCGAGGUUCCCAAUGACGUGGAUGGAGUAGAUUUUUCUUUCAGAUUCAUGGGUUUAGAAUUUUAGAUUAUAUCAUAACAUACUUGAUGUAAUUUUUCAUUAGAAUAAAUUUCUGAUUUGUAAUAUUUAUAUCUCAGUGUUAAAAGAAAAGAGAGAGAGAGCCCGUAGCUUCACUCUUCUUCGAAAUUAUCUUUCAAGUUUCAAGAACUCAGUAAAGUCAAAAAAUCCACAAGUGGAAGAAUAAGAAAUAAAUUAAUGGGAUCAGAAAUCUUCCCGCAAAGUUAUACUUUCCAUAGCUUUAACAUAUAAAAGAAUAAGAUGACUCACAUUUUCUUCACCCACCGAUUAGCCAAUCUGUUGAUGAAACUCAUAAAGCGCACACAUUGAAGAAUGAAGACAAAAGAAGUUAUGCCUUUCCUUACUCUUCGCCGCAUGAAAAAUGGAAAAGUAGCCGAUCAAUUCAAGAAUAUAUACCAAAACAUUCCAUCGGUCUUACUUGCAAUGACUAUUCUGCCAUUGCACCAAAAAUGCUCACCGCCGCCUGCCCAAAUUUUGUUUUGAAACAAAGAAAAUGCAGUUCCAAAACACAAAUUGUAUCAUUUAUCGCAACGACUUCAACUCUGCGUGGUAGUUGAUAUCUAGCAACUUCAACCUUGGCUUGCCAGAAGAAGAAGGGUAUUUCAGUAAUUAGAGAAACGUGGACAAAACUAGAGGGUGGAUUGUUUAGGAAACAGGAGGAAUCCACUUAGGAAACUUUUAGAGAGAACGACAAAGCAAGCUUUGAACAAUAUAUAUAUACACAAAAGGUGGUACUAUUUAAAGAGAGGGAGAGAGAGAGAGGGCUGAUGAUAAUCACAUUUCAGUAUUGAGCUGUUGUAAUACUCUUCUAAACCAUGGAUAUUACGCCAAAGCUUAUGCUUUUCAUUUGUAUGAUAAAAAUUUUAUUAUAUUUUUAAUAAUUUUAUUAAAAUUUAUAUUUACUACAUAUUAUUAAUUUUUGUUUCAUAAUUAUAAUUAUUUUGUCACAACAAUUGUACCUUAAGAGUUAUAUCACCUCAAUCGUAAAUAGUACCUUAAUGCAUUAGGUUAUUUCAGCCACGCCCGGACAUUUUCUGUCGUGCCCUCAAAAUCGUCCCCAAAAUGGUGUUCUGUGUAUAUUGGUUUCAAAUAAACUCUCAGUUAUGGGUUGCUUCCAGGCUGAAGGGCCCAUGUAUGGCUGAGCCUAGUAGUUCUCUAAACUGUUGGGCUCCAGUGGAUCACACAGUCCAACAAAGAACAGUGGGUCCAAUUUUUUAUUUUAUUAAAAGAGAGAGCAUAACUAAAACUUAAAGCACUUCAUAAAAUUCCUGACCACACUUCACUGUAGCAUUAGAAAAUUGAGUAAUGGUAGCGAGGUUCCCAAUGACGUGGAUGGAGUAGAUUUUUCUUUCAGAUUCAUGGGUUUAGAAUUUUAGAUUAUAUCAUAACAUACUUGAUGUAAUUUUUCAUUAGAAUAAAUUUCUGAUUUGUAAUAUUUAUAUCUCAGUGUUAAAAGAAAAGAGAGAGAGAGCCCGUAGCUUCACUCUUCUUCGAAAUUAUCUUUCAAGUUUCAAGAACUCAGUAAAGUCAAAAAAUCCACAAGUGGAAGAAUAAGAAAUAAAUUAAUGGGAUCAGAAAUCUUCCCGCAAAGUUAUACUUUCCAUAGCUUUAACAUAUAAAAGAAUAAGAUGACUCACAUUUUCUUCACCCACCGAUUAGCCAAUCUGUUGAUGAAACUCAUAAAGCGCACACAUUGAAGAAUGAAGACAAAAGAAGUUAUGCCUUUCCUUACUCUUCGCCGCAUGAAAAAUGGAAAAGUAGCCGAUCAAUUCAAGAAUAUAUACCAAAACAUUCCAUCGGUCUUACUUGCAAUGACUAUUCUGCCAUUGCACCAAAAAUGCUCACCGCCGCCUGCCCAAAUUUUGUUUUGAAACAAAGAAAAUGCAGUUCCAAAACACAAAUUGUAUCAUUUAUCGCAACGACUUCAACUCUGCGUGGUAGUUGAUAUCUAGCAACUUCAACCUUGGCUUGCCAGAAGAAGAAGGGUAUUUCAGUAAUUAGAGAAACGUGGACAAAACUAGAGGGUGGAUUGUUUAGGAAACAGGAGGAAUCCACUUAGGAAACUUUUAGAGAGAACGACAAAGCAAGCUUUGAACAAUAUAUAUAUACACAAAAGGUGGUACUAUUUAAAGAGAGGGAGAGAGAGAGAGGGCUGAUGAUAAUCACAUUUCAGUAUUGAGCUGUUGUAAUACUCUUCUAAACCAUGGAUAUUACGCCAAAGCUUAUGCAAUACAGAUACCAAUUUAGUGUAGCUGUAGUUGUUUCAUUAAUUCUUGGGUUAUUGUCAUAUGGUGCCCCCCGUAUGCUCACCAUUCUGGCAUAUUUUUGGCCUCUUAUCGCAUCAACCACAGUGUUCUUGCUGUUAAUAAUCGCCUUUGGUGGCCUUUCUCAGCUGGCAAACGAAGCUCAUGGUGAACGGGCUGGUGAAGGACUCCUAGAUUAUGUGGCAGGAGCAGGGCGAUCGGAGCAUUAAUGGGCCACGCUAACAGUAACAAGUAUCAAUAAAUUAAUAAAUGGGGUUGAUCCAUCUCUCAAUCUCAAUCUCAGAAACAUACAUGUAUAUACAUAUAGGCUCACGAAAUUAAAUAUGUUUGAUGCUCUUUAACUAUUGGCCUCCAUCUGUAUACAUCUUUACUUCACUUGCCUUCUUAUAACAUAUUGUCAAAACACUAGACUAUUCGUCAAUACCAAUAUGUUAUCUUGUUUUCAUAGUUUUAUCGACAGUUUAUUGAUCAUAUCAAACAUGAGACCAACGUAAGAUGAAAUUUUCGACAUCAAUUGAAACUUCAUAUAAGUUCCACUGAAAUCUGCAAAUAUAUCUUCUGUGAACGGAUAGCGAAAUUAAAAGUCCCUUAUUAUUCAUAAUGACACCUCAUUAAUCAAGAUAAACGCUAUCGAGAUGUUUUCAGUUUGAUUUGUGAUUAAGAUGACUGUGAUAGCUUUUUGGAAAUACAUGGUUGUGAUGACUUUUAUAUCAUGCGCAGCUAUCAAAGUUCCUGAUUGAUCUGCAUUAAGCCGUCGAGAGCGAAACAUCUUCCUUGCUGAUCUUUCCCAUUUACUGAGCCAUGUAAAUUAAAGAUUCUGCGGCACUGUAAUCAAGUUGGAGGGGAAGUUUUGCUAUAAUUUAGGAGUUUGUAUGAAUGUCAAAUCGAUAUAUACCAAGAAGUGGCAUGAGUAUGAAUAUGAGAGAAUUCAACAUUUUGUAACAUGAUGUUUCAAUUAUUUAUUAGGCGGGCUAAUAUCAAGUCAAUAUAAACCCGAUACAUACGACCACGAAAUCAGGAUAUUCAGGUUUUUUUCUCACUCAAAACUUUUCUUUUCCUUUGAAAUUCAAGAGUGGGCCACCCCAGAGAAAACCCAACAAUUUUGGACCUUAGGCAGUUGAAUGGACAAGCUGGCCCAACCCGUAAACGAAAUGGGUUUGAGUGCAGCUCCUAACAUCCUUUUAAAACUCCCACAAAACCACACCAUUUUAUAUUUUUAGCUAUUUCUUUGAUGAAAAUUAUGUCAAAGCAUUCUAAUAGAGUGUUAAUUGAAUUUUACUACCAUCUAGAAUAAAUUAAUUAAUUUAUAAAUGUUGCGAGAUAUAUUUAUUCCUCACUUGAUAAAAAUAUUAUGUGUUUCACACUAAUAACUUUAGGAAGUGAAUUACAAACGUAGAUACAUAAUUUGUAGUGUGCGCGUCUCACACCUCUUCAAAUAUAUUAUAAGUUGUGCAUUACACUAUUCAAUUUAUAAGAUGUCAUGUUCACAACACCUUAAAAUUGGAAAAGUGUGUUGCUAAAUGCACGACCAUUUCAUAUGCUUCAUUAAGUAUAAGUAGUAAUCAUCAUUUGUAAUCACAUUCAGCUCAGAGAAUGAGAAAUAAGAUAAAGAGCACUUAAGAUACUUCACAAUCAUAUCACAAUAGUAAACAUACUAUUCCAGAAGUAAUUUGCUUCUUCACCAAUUCAAGCUUAUUAUGAAUCCAUAAAAAAAUAUUUAUAUCAUAUAUUAGGAUUUAAUCAUUUAAAGACAGCUAGGACCUUAGGAUUCAUGAUUUGUUCUCCCGACAAUAAAAUUAUGAUUAAAAAAAUAAAGUUUUAUAAAUAUAUUAAAGGGGUGUGAAAAGUAUUACUCAAUGGGUAAUAACAUCUAACUGCAUUUAAUUCCUUCAACCCUCAAAAGCCACCAUUAAGAUACAACAUCAUACGAAGUAUAGUACACAAUAUACAGACAAUAAUAUAUAAAUUUAUUUGAAACUAACCUCAAAGAAUUCUCUCUAGCUGUUAGGCAUUGAUUAUUCAAUAAACCCCGGUAUAUCAAUUGAUACUUACUCUUGUGUAACUCGAAGAUCAUUAGAAUGAAUAAAUGAGGAAAAUUACCAUUUGUAUAUCAAGCUUUUUAAUCUUUGUAUUGUAACUAUUUAAUCGCUAGCCUGUAAUCCAACUUAGCAGAAGCAUUGAAUUCCAUGCAUUAGAAUUAUUAAAAAAAAUUAUUAGUUUUUUUGAUAUACUGAUAUGUUACAAUAAGAACUUUACUAAUAUUUUACAACCAGACAUCAAUCGGGACUCUCCUUUAUAAUUUUAAGAUGACUACUAAUAUUUUACAACCAGACAUCAAUCAGAACUCUCCUUUAUAAUUCUAAGAUGACACAGCCCGAACAACAAUUCUCACUUUAAUAUGGGAGGAAAAUCUAUUAUACUCCUAAAAUGGGGAGUCAAAUAAACCUCUAUCAAAAGGGAGUUGAGUCCCAACAAUGAUUGGGACUUGAACUCAUACGCCCAAGAAUUAUAUCAAUCUAUUGGACGCAUGAGUUACCAAUGAGUUACAAAUCUAUGAUUUAAAGCCGACUUACUCAAGAAUUUUAUUUAUUUGUUUAAAACAUUUAAAGUAUAACAACAGUUAACUACGUAUAUUAUGUAAUUGAUGUGAUUGAUGGCUUAUUAACCUGUGAAAAAUUCAAGUUAUAUGAUUUAUAUGGAAUUUGUUUAAAAAGUCAGGGAACCGGAAAUAAUUAUCCCCAUAAACAAAGAAACUUACGAGUUGAAGUAGAAGCACAGCAAGACUGCAAGAGCGAGGGUUUAAGCCCUUCCAUCUCUUUCACUGGUAAGUAGUUUUUUCCUUUAUCUGCUGGUUAUUUCAUAUAAUCUGGAUCUUGCAAACCUUCAUCUUAUUAAAGCUUAAGCCCUUUCUUUGUUCUUUUUAUUUUUAUUUUUUCUCUCUUUGUUUUUAUUUUACUGUAAUUUUCAACACAAAACUCAAUUAAAUUUGAUCCCUAGUUGCAUAUAUAACUCUUAGCUCUAAUGGAUAUGCAUAAAGUUAAUUAUUUGAUAGAACAAAUAAACCCUUUUCAAUGUAUUCUUCUUAAUUUAAUUUAAUUUAAUUUUUGGUUUUCAAGGGUUUAUAGUGCAUGCUAGUGGGGGACUUCGAUAUUUGAGUUUCUUUGGUUGUAAAGAGGUGUACAUAUAGUGUUAUUUAAUGGCAUUGCUAACUUCAAAAAAUAUAUGGAUGAGGAGGCAACAAUGUCCAUGUGGCGAUUGGAAAUGUUAUGUUUCUCAUGAAGGAGAUUCUGAAGAGACAUCAGUAGCAUCUCAAUUGGCUAAAAAUGAUGAAAAUUCAUUGAAUGAAUCUAUGGUUGCGCCCUACGUAGGAAUGGUGUUUAAGAGUGAUGAUGAUGCAUUUGAGUAUUAUGGUAAUUUUGCUAGAAAAAGUGGAUUCUCUGUUAGGAAAGAAAGGUCAAGAUUGAGCCCCCAAUUGGGUGUAUAUAAACGUGAUUUUGUUUGUUAUCGUUCGGGGUUUGCUCCUAUGAGGAAGAAGCCUGGUGGUGAACACCAUAGGGAUAGGAAGUCCGUGCGGUGUGGAUGUGAUGCAAAGAUGUACUUGUCGAAGGAAGUAGUUGAAGGAGUUUCUCAAUGGUUUGUUGUGCAAUUUAGUAAUGUUCAUAAUCAUGAACUUUUGGAAAGCGACCAAGUGAGAUUCUUGCCUGCUUAUAGGAAGAUUCAGGAGGCCGAUCAAGAGAGAAUUCUAUUACUUUCCAAAGCUGGGUUUCCAAUACAUCGUAUAGUAAAGGUGUUGGAGUUGGAGAAAGGGAUUCAAGGUGGACAGUUGCCUUUCCUGGAAAGGGAUGUUAGGAACUUUGUUCAAAACCGUAGAAGAGCUGUUCAAGAAAAUGAUGCUUUACUUACUGAGAAAAGAGAGACUGACACAAUGGAACUACUAGACAUCUGCAAGGCUACAAACGAGACUGAUGAAUACUUUGUUUAUGAUUUUACAGUCGAUGAGAACAAUAAAGUUGAGAACAUUGCCUGGUCUUUUCCUGGCUCUGUUCAUGCAUACGCCAUGUUAGGUGAUGUGGUUUAUUUUGACACAACUUAUAGGUCUAUAACUUAUGGUCUGAUUUUUGGAGCUUGGCUUGGGAUUGACAGCAACGGAAGAACAAUAUUGUUUGGGGUAGCUCUGUUGCAGGAUGAAACACUCCGUUCCUUUGCUUGGGCCUUGCAGGUUUACUGCCAAAGUCUUUUAAACUAAAUGUUUCUUCAAAUAUCUUUCAUUUAGCAAUUUUAUAUCUUCGCUUUUUGUUGCAGACCUUUGUUCAUUUUAUGAAAGGAAGAUGUCCGAAGACAAUUCUAACUGAUCUUGAUCCAGGGCUUGGAGAUGCUAUAAGAAGUGCAUUACCGAACACUAGACAUGUAAUAUCUGUAUGUAAUAUUCUCCCCAAGUUAUCUGGCUGGUUCUCGCUCUUGCUGGGAUCUCAGUUUUCAGAAUUCAAAUCUGAGUUUGAUGCAUUAUGCCAUGUAGAGAGUACAGAAGAUUUUGAACUCCAAUGGAGUCAAAUGGUUUCCAUGUUUGGACUUGGUUCAGAUAGGCACAUUGCUUUACUUUAUUCUAUCCGGACAUCUUGGGCACUUUCCUACAUAAGAGGCUAUUUUCUUGCUCGGAUGGCAACACCAGCUUAUUUAAAGUCUGUAGAUGCAUUCUUGAAAAGAAUUUUUGCUGCUCAAACAUGUUUACGUAGCUUUUUUGAGCAGGUAUAUCAUUUUCUUUAUUUUUUUGGGCAAUGCUUGAAUUGAUUUUCAUGUGUAGAUUGUUUAUAGUUUUUCUUGGAAUUCUUGCAGGUUGGUAUCUUUUCCAAUCUACAAAACCAGCCACGUCAAGAGAUGCAGUACAUGCAUAUGAAAACAUGCAUCCCCAUUGAAGAGCAAGCUCGUAGGACUCUUACACCUUUUGCCUUCAAUGCUUUUCAACGUGAACUGGUUCUAGCUAUGCAGUAUAGUGCAUCUGAAUUGGCUAAUGGAACGUAUCUUGUGCACCAUUUCAAGAAGAUGGAUGGAGAACGUCGUGUUAUAUGGAUACCAGAUGAUGAACAGCUUCAUUGUUCUUGUAAGGAAUUUGAGUCUUCAGGGAUACCCUGCAGACAUGCUUUUCGUGUUUUCAUUACAAAGAACUACUUCCAACUUCCCGAGAAAUACUUUCCUAGUAGAUGGCUGCGUGAAAGCUCUUUAGCCUUUUUUUAUGAUCAUGAUGCUCAGCAGAACGAAGAAUGGAUUCAAGAAUUUCAUUCCCUUACUGAAAGACUAUUUGCAGAAUCAUCAAUUACAAAAGAGAGGUCUGAUUAUAUUCGUAAAGAAUUAACAAAAGAGCUUACAAGACUUCUUAAUGAGGUUAGAGAUAUGCCAGAGAGUGAUGGAAUUGCUAUGGAUUUUACUCUUUCACCAACUGAUUGAUUUUACAGCAAUGGAAAGUGUGGAUGGUUGCAAAUAGAUAAGUGAUCACCCAAUGGGUGAAAAAACUUAGAUGGUUAAAUGAAAAUGUUAUCUGGCGAUGCCAGCAGGGCUAGAAUGAGUGUGCAUUCUCAUAGUUUGUUUCAAGCAGACACAUGUAUAUAUUGGGAGGAGCUACAUAGAAGUAAGUAGUAGACUGUAUUAUCGUCCUGCUGCCAACCGGCUAUUCUGGUUUCUAUCAAGAAAGGGUAGUAGAGGCUGCAAAGGUUGUUGCAUUGGGAUAGGUCUCUAUUAAGGUGGUGCACUCUGUAAAUUUCUAAUGUGUGUUUCUAGAUAUGUUUUUGGAUUAAUGAAGAGUAGUUAAUUUAAUUCAUUAUGCUCUUGCGCUUUUGAUUUUACCAGCUUUUAGUAUGUGGUUGGAUAAUGUUUUAAAGUAUAAUGAUAUUUCAUGCAUACUUCAUUAUGCUUCCAUUCUGUUCAUGUGGAGAACCUAAAUGUAGUGGUCCAGGAGUUGAUUGUACAAAAGCUACUUGCUUUGAUUCAAAGGGGAAGCAGAUGAAAGUUGAAUAAAGGAAUGUCCAGCAAGUAAUCAUGUAUUACUUUCUUUUUCAUAAUUUGUUUCAAGAAUUAUCUGUCAAAUAUUAUACAUCCUGCACAUUGUGGAGUGGCUCCAUGAUCUCUGUGGAUGUAUAUUACUUUAAGGAUGCUGCACUGUAUUCUGGAUGUGGAAUUAAUGGUAAGAUAGUAUGGGCACAACUCACUUUAGUUAGUAUAGUAAUUACAUGGAGGUACUGCUCUCUGCCUUUGUAGAGUGUUGAAGUCAGGCAGCUAUAGAUAGUCUACUGUUUCUAAAGGUCAAGGCUAACAGCAAGUACAACUUUAUUCUUUUAAAAACUUGGGAAAAAAUUUCUGAUGGAUAUGCUACACAACCUUUUGUAAAUUUAUACGCAAGUAUUUUUUCACUUGAGCUUUUAUGAUGCAGGCUUUCACCAUGUUUACAGGUUUUUUUUCCAAAUGAACUUGAGGAUCAAAUUGAUAGAGGAGCAGCUUGGCAUUUUGACUUGGUAAUAGUCGUUGCCAUUUUUAUGAAUAAUUUAACUCCAUACAAGUUUCAGUUUUACCAACUUGAGCCAUUUCAUUUGGUACUGAAUUAUGAAUCUGCAGGAACAAAAAAUUGAAUGGCAAUAAGGCAUGACAUACGGACCAAAAUGAAAUUUUCACUGACAUAUUUCAGCGUUACCGAGUGAUUAGCUUUUACCCUAAUCUGAAAAAAGAAAAAGAGAAGGUGAUUAGCUUUCACCCACCUGAAUGAUUUUCAAAUUUCAUAGUCCUAAAGUUUUGGGCAAAAUUGUACUGAUAUUUGUACUAUCAGCAUUACAUUACUUUUUAAGAUUGAACACUUUUCUUUUUCAAGUGUUGCAUAGUUGAAUAAUUUAAUUGUCACCAUUUGCAGACAGGAUGGAACUUGUUUCUCCAAGUUGGCGGUUAUGAAGCCUUUCUACAUUUCUCCCCUCCAUAACUCCCUGCAACUUUGCAGGUAUGCAUUUGGGACUUUGCUAGCUUACAGAAUCUGUAAGUUACAGACUGCAGCAUCAGCCGUUGGAUGUGGUUGAAGGUGGAGUGAGAAAUUAAACAAUAGAAAUCGGAUGGUGGGAGAUGUUAGUUACAGAGUCCGCACCAUAGACAGGUCCAUGCAUUUGAUAUGAUAUGGAUUCAAUCGCAAUACUCUUCAUUUUUCAUUCAGAAGAGGGUCUCCCUAAUAAAAUGUCCAUGACCAAUGUCCCUCAUAUUUGUAAAUUAAAUUUUGUCAAAAGAGAUCAAUAAAAAAAGCUGCAAAGUUCUAGCCACAUAAGUGUAAGAACCUCAUCGACUGGUCGGUUUUCAUUCUGUACAAAGUGGUUCAUGACAAAUGGCAAUACUUACCUGCUGUUAAAUAUAUAAUGUUGAUUGUCGUUUUAGCUUUGCCAAAAACUGUCAUUCUCAAAAUUUGCAUUAUGCUUCUAUAAUUGAUUUUUUUUGGUGUCCGUGACCAUGAUCAUAUUUUGUGUAUCUCGAACAAGCUUUUGUUAAUAUCUCUGUCCCAGGCUCGAAACUAAAGAAACCUGGGAUGGGCCCACAUUUUGCUAAACCGUCGGGCGGCUACAAUAAAAUGAGUAAUGAUAUAACCACAAACUCUUGUACAAACUUAUCAUGUACAAACUGAUGUGCCAUGAUAAAAUUGGUUGAAUUAAAUAUCUCUUGACCCACAUGAUUUAUUUUCAUUAUUUGUAUUUUCAUUCAACCAAUAAAUUAAUGCCACAUCAGUUUGUACAAAAUAAGUUUGUAAAAGAAUGUGUGGCUGUAUCAUCACUCCAAUAAAAUUGCAUUAUGAACAAAAGCUUGUGGUGUUCCGUGUUCAUGAGAGGGCCAUAGGGGCGUGUUUGGCUUCAAGGAAAUGGAAGCAUAUGGAAAGUCGGCCAGGGUCAUUUGGUAUAAUUAUAUUUUUUUGGUCCAUGGAUUAGAGGUGUAUUAAAGGUAUGUUGGUUUAACGAAAGGGGUGUGUUAAAAGCUGGUUUAAGAGGUUUUAAUACCUGAUUAUGAUAUUCGCAAAUCAUGGAAAUUUGCAUAGGCUUUAGAAUCUGGUUCUCCUUUAUAAUUUCCAAUGGGUGCAUAUCUUUGUGGGUCUUACAAAAUCAUUCAUUUGAAAAAGAUUUAUGACUUCAUAUAAAGAUUUGUUCUCAUUUUUGCCACUGUCAAACGAACUUUUUCUUUUCUAAUUCAUUCGGAAUCUAUCAAAUUUUUUUUUUCUUCUUUCAUGUAUUAUACGGUGGUUUCCUCUCAAGUUUGAGGUUUAGAUCUGGAGGAUUCCAUGCUAUAAUCUACCGAUCUUAAUAGAAAAUUCAUCACAACAUCUGUUGGAAGAAUCAAAUUAAGAAUGACAUGAAAGAUAUGUCCAAUUAAGCUCAAAUCAUGUAUGUGCACAACAAUAUUUGUUAGUGGGGAUAUUCUUUGCACUGGUAUAUUUCUUUGAAAAUGUAUCUUUAUUACACUAGUUUUCAUCCUGACCUUCUGUGUGAAAAUACAAUGAUUUGACCAAUUAGUUAUUAUAAUUGAAUCGUAGUAAACAGAUCUUCACUUUUUUUUUUUACUUGUAAAGCCGUUCUUUCUAGUAUUUUCCAUAAAAUUCAAGCCGCGAAUCAUCCAAAAGUAACAGUAGGUAUAAUUUUAUUCUCACUGCAAUUCAAGGAAAUCAAGUAUCGGGAGAAUGCUACCUUACAGAUACGGUAAUCUAGCUAACAUAAUUGAAAUAAAAGAACAGACAAUUAUUAAAGAAGUGCUAAUUAAACUAGCUAGAAAUAUAGCAUGAAAGAAAUGUGUACACGGCAUCCACAUUAAACUUUCCAAAAAGAUGACAUAGAAGAAGGGAUCAAAACUCUACAAACAAACAACAGCAGAAAGGACUAAUUAUAAGAUAAAAACAUGAAGGCGUAACUACUAAUUAGUCAUCUUAAACAAGGAAAGAAAGCAGAUUGGCAAUUGUUGAUUUUAGAUUAAUGAAAAUUAUACUGCAAAAAGCUGUUGUUGAGCUUCAAUCCUGAUUUCUUCCUUCAUUUUCCUUAUAAACUCUUCAAUUUUCUUGUUUAACUCAUCCGUAGUUGGUUCAUAUACUGCUUGUGCUUUUGCCUCUUCUUCUGGUACCACAGGUUCUUCAUCUUCUGGCAUCGAAACUUGAGUGCCUUCUGUGACUUGGACUUGUUCUUUUUGUUUCUCUUGUAUUACUUCUUCUGCAAACAAUUCGCUUUCUUCUUGUUCUUGUUCAGCUACAAGUGCACCAUUUGCCGCGGGAGGAAGUUCGUUAUUAACAUCAACGGAUGCUUCCACCUCUCGCAAUAAAUCGGAAGCCGAAAGACGCUGAGAAUCGUCACCAUCAUCACCAGCGACGUAAGCCGACGCUGGUGUCGAAGUGCUGCAAGAGACCAAGCUGGUUUUCGCAAGAAGAGCAAGGAUUCCAUUGCAAAUGAGGAACACGUACUUCCUCUCGAGAGUGUGGGUGAAGAAUGAGAAAAGGAACGUGGAGAAACAGACAUUGGAGGAUUGAGGAAAGCCUGCGGAGUAGCAAAGAAUCAGAGAAAAUAUGGAGACUGAGACAACAAGUUGCACACUCCUUUUAUGCUGCGUUUACUUUUUGGAUUGGAGUGGGAAUCCUGAGGAGUGGGAAUCCUUGGAUUAGGAGUGUGGAGUGGGAGUGAGAGUAGGGUGUUUACUUAGACUAAAUGAAAGUAUGGAUUGUCAAUUAGAAUCCCAAUUAUUUAUUUACUUUGUCUUGGAUUGGGAGUAAAUUGUUUUAAAUUACAAUUUUAUCCUUAUGUACAGAAUUAUAAUUUGUAAUUAAAAAAUUAAUAAAAAAUAUAUUUGGAAAAUAAAAUAAAUAUUUUAUUAUAUUUAUAAAUUAAUAAUAAUUACUAAUAUUCUUAAUUAUGUAAAUCAUAAUUUUUUAUUAAUUUUAAUUUAAAUUAUGUGAAUAAAAAUUAUUAAUAAUAGCAACACAAAUGAAAUAUUAUUAUUGAUAAUAUAGUACAAAAUUAAUAUUUUUUGAAUAAAAUAUUUAUUAUUAUUAAAUAAAUAAAUAAUUAAUAUUUAUUAAAAUUAAUGUUUAAUAUUAUUAAUUUAAAUAUAACAUUUAUUUAUUUUUAUUUUAUUAAAUUUAAUAAAAUAAAUAUGAUAUAAUUAUUAUUUUUAAUAAAUACUGCUGAAGAAUCCACACUCCACACUCCCACUCCAGAAAGUAAACACUACCUUAAGGAAGCGGCUCUUGUUCAACUUCAGGCUGUGCUCGUCAAAAGCUUGAAGCUCCAACUCCUUGAAUUCAUCCAUAUCUCGGUCUUGGGACUUUUGGUUAUCUUGUUUAAUUUGUGUGCGAGAGUGAAAAAAGGGUAACUUCUCUUACAAGUGCUUUCAACUGGGUCGGUGUCUUUGCCUUCGGUGUUUCGGGUGCAAAUGACACGGAGGCACCUGAAAUGAGAGCCUACUACAGUUUCAUGGGCUAUACAUGAAAUUACAGAUAUGGCCUUACUGAUUUUCUUUCCACCAUGACGUGUGGAACUCGGACAAGAAUUGUGGCCAGAAAGAAAAUCAAGGGAUUUACUUUCCUGUUGUCAAUAUGAAAAACCAUUCUACAGCAAAUUUAACCCUGCGCUCAAUCAAUCCCCAAUCAAUCCCACAGUAAACUGAGCCUACAAACCCAAAUUGACCCUUGGAAUUAAUUAUUUGUGGGCUCCACUCCUUUAAUGAGAGAUAUGAAUUGAGCUUUGUUUUGUGCAUCGUGUGUUGCACGAUUUUGUUCCUUCUGUUGCAAGCUUCGGCCCAAUAUUAUAUAUAAUACAUUCCCGUUAAUUAAAAGCUAUACGAUCGAUACGUAUAGAGAAUUCUUUAGAUGUAUGAAAUGUUAAAAAGCGGCAAAAACAAGCAACUUUGAACUUGUUUUUACUACCAAAUUUCUUUGCGCCCCCUCAAACAGGGGCUCUUGUCUGCCGUACACGCAGUACCCUGCAAUACAAGCAAAAUUCUUCCGGUUCAAUUUUCAAGCAAACCAAGCUAAUCCAGGUUAGCUUUCUUCUUUGUCAAGAAACUGCUGAUGUACGUAAUGUCAUUAAAUUAAACCACACUAGUAGGAUCAAGAAAGAAACAAAACCAUCCCAAUUAAUUGUUGAAUUUAAUUUAUUCGGUAAAUUUUUGCUUGCCAUAGCUGGCUAGGACUAUACAAUUAAUAAACUUCUUGAAAAACCGGGAAUAAUUUUACAUGUGCACUCCAUUGACUAAUGUCCAUGUCAUUUUCAUGCUAGCACACUAUGGUAUUAUUGACGAAAAAAAUAUUUAAAUAUAUUAGUAGUAUACAAAAUUUCGACACGAAAAGACAUAAUAAUAAUGUUGAUUCAAAAAUAAUAAUAAAUGAAAACGAAAUGGUAUUAAUCUUUUGACGAAAUUAUAAUUUAAUAGAUAUUCUGCAUGCUUACUUCUGAUGUUUCUAGCUAGUACAUCAAUAACCAUUCGAAUACUAAACUUCAAUUCAGAUCACACUUUUUCGCCAAUCGAUCACUGAAUUUGAAUCUAUAAUUCUUUCAAGUGAAUAAACAAGGAGCACUACAAAUUGCUUGUGUAAAAGCAAAGCAUUAUUAUUAAUUAUUAUUUUCAAUGAACUUUGACUAGAGCAUGCUGCGAGGCAUUAAUUUCUUAGUUAACAUUUACACACCACUAAUUAAUAUUUAUCAUAUGUAUCGCUGGCAAAAGAGAAAUAAUAUUAUUACAUAUUUUUAAAAAUUUUGUCUGAAGUUUCAUGUCAAAGGAUAUGAUAUGUGAUAUGUUAUUCAUUAAGUAAUUGAUAAUUUUUCUUUUAGGUGAAUUAAUUAAUUACAUAGUUUUACUCUCUACUUUAUGAACAUUACGAAAUUUUGAGAUAAAAUUUUAAGAUGUCUACUAAAACAUGAUCUUCUUCACAAAAAUGCUUUUAACUUAAUUAAUCUAAAUUCAUUUAAAUCAUAUGAUGCCUUGAAACCAGAAAUCAGGGCUAAAACUUAUAACAUAAGAAGGAGCGUGUAUAUAUAUAGACAUACACUUGCAUACAGCCAUACACACAUAUUACAGAAAAAGUAAUAUAAGUACAACCAGUUUUUUUUUUUUUUUUUUUUCCCCCCUUUUUUUUUCCCUCCCGUCAGGUAAGUCACUUUUUUAUUUAAGAGAAAGACCAUGUUACAUAAACAAGAAUAACAAAACCAUAUGCGCCUUAUGAUAAAGUAUAAAAACAUGCGUGAUUAAUAUAAUUAAGCGACAAUAGUACUGUAAGGAUAUCUCAAAUCAAAACCUAGAGCUGGUUAUAAGUCAAUAUUGAUCUGGCCAUAAAAAUGCUCCCAUUGCGAAUGCUCUCUUUUCAUCAGGAGUCCCCUGGAAACAUAGGCCAUAUUCUCUGAGAAGCAUGUCAAGCUUCCAGUCCUCCAUCUUCUCAUAAUCAGCCUUCGAGUAUCGAGGAUAAUGAAGCGGCAGUUGAAACCCAGAAGCACAAGCUUCAACACUUUGUGAUAAUCCAUCGCUGACCUUUGAAUCUGAUGAGACUCCAUUUACUUGAACUUGGUGAUGAUGAUCGUUUUGGUAUCCCACAACACCGUUACACUCUAUUUUGUUGUCGUUUUGAUGCCCUAGUACAUGACAUGCUGUAUGAAGAACCCACCUCAGAGCCAUUCUCUCUCUCUUUUUGUUUACUCUCUUUCUGAAGCUUAAUUAAAGCUUUUGUGCAUUUAUAUAGACCCAUGAUAGUUAACGACAAAACUGCGUGAUUAGUGGUUUCACGAAUUAAGCAAAAAUGAAAAAGAAAAAAUGAUUGGCUUGCAAAAUUAAUUAUAUUAAUUAUGAUGAAAUAAUGCUUGCUUGUAUUAAUGGCCAUCUUGAAAUGGG
rnacentral:lncRNA from 1 species